rnacentral:lncRNA from 1 species
CAAAAGUUGUGUUCCACUCCUGCAUCAGGGACAAAUACUACAAGAGAUUGAAGCAAAAAGAUUAAUGAUGAGCUAAAACAGAUCACUAUAGCACGAUGCCCUUCCCUGCAGAACCACAUAAUCCAGAUGGAAGAGUCUAAGUCAAAUCCAAGCUCGGCAUUGUUGCUCUAAUCAAAGGGCUCAAAAAGUUCAACAGCCUUUCGAUGGCACUGUCGCCAAAAAGCAAAGCCUCGCCGUGUAACGUUGUCAAAUCGCCACCACUUCUUCGAAAGCAAGAGUAUCUCAUAUCAUGCUUUCUCCUUGUCAUUUUAUUUGUCCUUGUUCUUACCUGUAGGACAAAGAGAAAGAGAGCAAUCAGUUGGAACUUGAAGUCAAACUUCCAGUCAGGAACCGACUGCCUGGAACCCUUCCCUGAUUGCUUACCUAGCAUCGCUCUGCCGGAGAAAUGGACAAGGUAGCAAAAGAUACCACAUCUUCCUGAAGAACAGAUAAGGCAAGUGAAAAUGAUACAUUGAAGCAUGUGGAAACAAGCACAACCAAACACGUGCUGAUUUAUCCGCUACUUCUUUAAAAGCAAAAAUAUCUCAUAUCAUCAGGGUUGCAAGUACUCUAGAUUUGGCGGACUUGUUUUGACCCUCAAAUUCUUAAGACGACUCACUAAGGCGUUGUGAACUUCAUGUACCGAUUCAGCACCCUUGAAUUAAAUCUUUCAAGAUCAAGCCACCAACGGCCCUUGAAGAAAUCACAAGUCUGAUUCAAGAUCAAGUGUCCACCACCCUUGAAUCAAAUCCAGUUCAAGAUUAAGUUUGUGGAAAGUAAAUUCAGACCCUUGAAGGAAACCAGAAAACCCUCCAGCCCGGUUCAAGAUUAAGCCUGUGGAAAAUCAACAAUUGGAGGAAACCAAAAAAUCUUCCAGCCAAAUUCAAGAUCAAGCCCCGAAAGUCCUUGAAGAAACUCCCAACCCAAUUUAAGAUCAAGCCUCGACGGCCCUUAGAUCAACAUCUACAUUAAGGGACUUCAAAACGCAUCUUCUACAUGUGACAAGCACAUGUAUACGACGCGCCUUGAAGUGGGGGUAUUUGUAGAUAACGAAAUUUCGGUAAAUAAAUCUUCACCAACGCAUUAAAGUUUUGACGUGUCAUGGCAUACAUAGGAUACGCCAAAUGUCACACAAUUACACAUGGCAUGUGACUCAACAAAUUGGAAGAAAUACCCUUUGAGGAUUAAACAAGUAUUUUUCUUCUCAUUUUUGGGCAAUGACAAGGCAAACACACUUCAAUCCAUUAUGGAUGAAAACAAGUUUUUCUUCUCAUUUUGGGCAAUGAAAAGGUAAGCACAUUUCAAUCCAUUACGGAUCAAAACAAGUUUUUCUCAUUUGGGCAAUGACAAAGCAAACACACUUCAAGUUUAAAUGGUAUGAAGUGGGAAAUUAGGCCAUAUGUUAGACCACUUCAAUUUCAAUAUUGCAUUAAGUGGGAAAUUAGGCCAUAUGAUAGACCACUUCAAUUUCAAUAUUUCAUUAAGUGGGAAAAUUAGGUAAUGGUGCUUAAGUAGGAAAAUUUUGUGGUGGUGAUUCAUUCUCAAAGCCUAUAAAUAGGCUUCUCCAUCAAGGUAUCAAGGAUCCUAACUACAAACACCAAUUCACAUCACACAAACACCUUGAAGCUUUGAAACUCUAAAGCUCUCAAGAAAAUCCCGAAGGAUUAAGAAAGCCCUAUUCGUUCUUCGUCAAAUCCUCCUUCAAGAUCAAGCACCAACGGCUCUUGAAGAACUUCCACCAAUUCAAGAUCAAGCUGAUAGGAGCAUAUUUAUGUGACUUAGUUAGCUUGUUUUUUUGCAUUUAUGUUGUUAGUUCAUAGUUAUUUUAGUAUUUUAAGCUAUUUUCGUGUGUUUGUAGGUCCAAAGGGCUAAAGUAUCAAGAAAGUGCAAUUUGGAGCAGUUUUGGGCUUUGAAUGGAUAGCACAUGCAUGGAGCAAGGUUGAUGGAUGAAUUUGAAGACCAAAAGAGGCUAGGAUUAUGCUGAAGUUAUGAAGAAAUUAAUUCAAGAAAAGGAAGUAAAGGAUGCAAGCAAGAAAGAAGGAAUGUUAGCCAAAGUUACCUUAUUUUGUCCUAAACUUUCCUAAUCCUUCACCACUUAAUUUCCAGCUGCAAAAGAGGAUCCUUAAUUAUUUUAGGACACUUAAAUAAUGAUUCUAGAAGGCCUAAACCCAUUCCUAUAAGGUGCCACACCACCUUUCCUUUGCCGUGCAAGGUAAACCCUUUCCCCUUUUCUUUUCCUUGCCGCAUAUCCUUUUCCCUUUCUCUCUUGGAUUCUGGUUUUAAUUAGCCUUAAUUCCCUAGGGUUUUGCCGUGCCCUGAUAUAUAUUUAUGUGUAUGUGCCGCUUAAGAAUCACCCAUCACCCAUCACGCCUCAUCCAUCCACACAUCCCAUCCUUAUCAUCCACUCACUACCAUUCAUACUUUCAGCCCUUUUUUCAUACAAUUCAUCACUCAAACCUUCACCCACACCUUGUGCCGCAAUAAAGAAGAAGAAGGAGGACCCUUGGAUGUGCUUGCCAUUCAAGCUUGGAUUGCUAGAACAUUUUUAGGUUUAAUCCAUCUUUUGUUUUCAAUGUUUAAGUUUAAUUAUCUUUGUUUUGCGAAUAGGAUGAGCUAAACUCGUUUUAGCUAGGGGACAUUCAAAGCCAUGAACAUAUUUGCAAUAUGAAUUGAUUACUUGGAGUUGUGAUUCUAUAAAUCGUGAAUGAAAUUUACUUAACUGUUUGAUUCAAAACUCAUUCUUGUAUGUUGAUGAAGGGUGCACACUUAGUUUGCAUGCCUAAAUUUGAUGCUAGAAUAUAAGGGAGUUUCACCUAAUUGUUAUGAACUUAUAUUCAUAAGUAGUGGAGGUUGCUAGUCACAAUCGUGUUAAGUAGAUUCCUGGCAGGGGUAUCAUUCUUUUCAUAGUUACGAAUGCCUCGUUAAUGCUUAUGAUUUUCACAAAGCUUAAUGAUCUUUGAUUGUAUCUCUAUUAUGCUAUUCAUGUAGGGGGCUAUUGAAGAAUAAUUUGGUUGUCGAUGCGUUGUCCAUCCAAUUCAAUGACUUAAGGAAAAUCAGAGGGUUAAUUAGUGUUGUUCAUGGUUAAUCUGGAGCGUUGAGGUUCAUGGUUUCUUGGAAAAGCAAUUGGAAAUUGAUUUGUGUGCAAGUGUGUCAUGUGUGGAGAAGAACCCUCUAGAUAGCCAAUCACCCAUAUUUUGCCCUAAUUUCGUCCUAAACUUGCUUAAGUCCUUAAUUUACUUGUCUUUACUUUAAAUUCGUCAAAAACCCAAUCCCUUUUACUUUGUUGUGUCAAAUUAGUUAGAAUCUAUCCAAACUUGUGUUUUUAAGUAUUUUGAGUUAAGUUAAAAUCAUUUUUCGUCCAAAUCACCCUUCAGUGUCUAGUUUGAGUCUAUUUGAUUAUUUUGUGUUGUUUUGAGUCUCUUUAGUUUGUUUUGAGUUCUUUGAGUCUAGUUAAGUGUUUUCAAGCCUAGUUUUGUGUUUUUAAGUCAGUUUUAAGUAGAUUAGCAAUCCCUCCUAAUCCCCGGCCUAGAACGAUCCCUACUUACAUCUUUACUACAAUUGUCAAUAAGAGGGUUUAAUUUGAGUGCUAGUUUAUAUCACAUCAAAUUCGCCUCAGGGAUUUCCAAUGAAAUAUGACACAUUAAAAAUCACUACUCACAUAUAUUUUAGCCAUCCUUACCCUCGAGCACACACUUAAUCAUAGUCACCAUUCACUAGCUCACAUUUAAUCAAUUAAAACAAUGUUUUGAAUGGAGUAACAUGCCUUCGAGAAUUCCCUCAAUUCCUCACCGGAUAUACUCUCUAUUUUCACAUAGAUUUUCUGACUACACUCCCUAUACUAGGUAUAUGUGAGAAGAUUGAUGUAAACAUGUAGACUGGUACUCACAUAUGUUUUAAACAAAGAAGGCAAUUUCUGGAAUUAUCAAUAUAACAUGUAUAUGAUCUCAUGAACGGAAUGUUACUACUUAGAAGCAAGAACCAGGGAUUUCAUAUGCUCAUACCAAUUUCAAACUCCACAUAUUGAAACACAUAACCAGCAAGAUUGAAGUCUAAGGGUUGUAACGGGGCUAGGGUAUUGUUUAACAAAGAAAGGUUAAGGAUAAAAAAAGGUUCUUAAAGCGAUAGUAAGCAAAGUAAUGAAGUUGACACUUAGAAUUCACUUUUGAAUGUAAAAACCCACUUUAAGCAUAAAGGGAAGAUUCACAAAACACUUAGGGCCAGAUUCACACUUUUGGACCCUUUCUUCAACAACCAAUACUUGUGAGUUCAUUCUCACUUAUUUUGAACUCUUUUCCUUUCUUUUUCUUUUCUUUUUCACGAUUUUUUUAUUUAUUUUUAUUGGAAAUAACCUUCCCCCACACUUGUUUUCUGCAAUAAUGUCACUCAAAAGGAAUUCCCUCUAAGUCAUGCUCCACUAUACUUUAAGAACAAGGGUAUGGAUAGUCCUAUUCUUGGCUAGGUAGGGAUAAUGUGGCUAACACAGAAAAUAGGCUAAAUAAGGCUCAAAGGGGUUAAACCUACAAAACAAAUGCAUGGGAUGAAGGCUUUUUGGCUCUGGUGGUAACUACUAAACAACUUCAUCUUGUUAUAUGUUAUGCACUCAAUUUUAAGCUUUGAAUGAAACGGGUAUGAGUUCUAGUAUUUGGAACUAUAAUCAUGAAAAACACAUUCUAAGUAGCAACCAAGUAAAGAAACAAUGAGAUCACGCAACAACUUUAGAAAACAAAAAUCACAGAUUAAUAACUCUCCAAACAAAGUUUAGGCUCAAGUCUCUCAGGGUUGUAGCAUUAGUUUGAGUUCCUUCCUGCAAGCAUGUUACAAAAACUGAUUUUUUUCCUUUGUGAUUACAUGUGAAUUCGUAAACGUCAACUACAACCAAGUAUUAACCAAAGAGCAUAUCAAACUUCUACCCAUGUUUGUAACGUUCUUUAAUAGUCAUGCAAUUAAAAACCAAAUCCUCAUCAUUAUGUUGGAAGGUACCCUAGGACACAAACAAACACACAAAAACGACUAUUUUUGGGUUUUUCAAAACUUUUUCAAUUUUUUUCUCAAAUUUUCGUAUUGCCACAUAAAAACACUUCAAAACACACUAAAAACACUUAAAAACAGUGAAAAACAACUCUAGAGGUGCUAGGUGGUAAAAUCCCACGAAAAUCAAUGAAAAACACUUGUUCCCCCCCCCCCCCCCGGCCACACUUAAACCAAACAUUGUCCUCAAUGUUUCACAUAAAGACCCACACUCAAGCAAGCAAACAACAUAACUAACAAUCAUGACAAAUAUGGCAAAGUAAAAGCAAUUAAAGAGUUAGGAAUGCAAAUCUGGUUAUGGAGCAAUUCUUAGGUCUUCUUUGAAUGCAUGGGUUGCCUCCCAAAAAGCACUUGCUUUAACGUCUUCCAGCCGAACGAUACCUUCUUUUAAGCUCCAUCAAGGCCCACGACAUGGAGUUGAUCUUUGAAUGGAAGGUGAUACUUGAAAUGAUUCAGCAAUGGUUUAAAUUCUAGAGUAGGUGCCUGAAUCAUCAACAAUCUGUUAGUAGAAAACAAAAUUGAAAUUUGGGGAAAUGGCUUACCUGUGUGCUCCAACAAGAACUCAAGGAUAAACACCGCUUCUUUGAAAGUUUCAGGAACUUUGCACUCGGCCAGAUUUGGUGUGAAUGUUGUAACAUGUCAUGUGUCAUAAAAUCCAACUUCUUUGGGGUUGGUUGUCUCAAGUUCAUCCUCUUUGAUGAAUUCUUGAUAUCCCCUAACCACUUCUUUCUCUUGAAUCAUUCUUCUUGUUGUACAAAGUUCUUUGAACAAUUCAACACAUUCUGGAACUUGUUUUGUUGUACCAAGAAUUGGGAUAUUACUUUGCACUUUUGGAAAGGUUUCCAAGAUGUCUUUUUCACUCUCCUCUUCCUUGGAUUGCAAAAACCUGCGAAGAAAAGGUACAUUUGGUGGAACGAGGUUAGAAAGAAUUGAAUUUGGAACAACCUUACCUGAAUUGAAUGGUGGUUGAGCUUUGAGAGGCUGCGGCAAGGGUUGUUCUUCCCUUGCCGUGGCUUUGUCUUCAUUCUCUUCUUCGAGCAUUAACUGUUUGUCUACUUCUACGCUAUGUUUAGACAUCUUUAGUUUAGCUCCAACUUCCAUACCACUUCCUAAAGUGAUGGCUUUAGCGAUUUCAAAAUCUCCCUUUGGAUUGACAAUGGUUGAGCUAGAGAGUUCACUUUGUUUUUGAAUUUGCCCUAUGAAUUCCAUCAUCUCUCCAAGUUGAUUUUUCAAUUCGCUCAUCUUUUUAGCUUGGUUUUGUAAGCCUGCAUCAAUUGUGUAAAAGAAAUUAGUACAUCAAGAGUUUUAUCAUUAUCCAUUGAUGUACCUGAAUUUGGUUGGGCAUAUUGUUGGGGGGGGAAGGCUGUGGUGGUGCAUAUGGCCAUUGAUAGAACUUCUCAUAUGGCUAACAAUAUUCUUCUUGUUGAAGUUUUUGAGGUUCCCUACACAUAGAAUUUGAAUAAUCUCUCCAAUUUGAAUUGUAAGUGUUGGAAAACAGGUUGUUCCUUGAUUGAUUAUGGCCUUGAUAACCCCAGGCACCUCUAUUCUCAAUGAAUUGAGGACGUUGAUGAGUUUCAUAUCCUUGCCUAUAGGACACACCAAAUGUAGGGACACUUUGCAUUGUGGUCCUUUCGGCAUAUUGCGACAACUGACAAGUAAGAUUCGCUAUUUGAGCUUGAACGUUAGAAUUGCCAUAUUUUGCUUCUCUAGUACCUAAAAUCAAAGAAAGAAAACUAAAUCAAAUAUCAAAAGUAAAAGAUACAAACAGAAACAAAGGGAGAUUAGCAAUUUUGCUAAUCCCUGGCAACGGCGCCAAAAAUUUGAUGUGAUAUAAACUAGUACUCAAAUUAAACCCUCUUAUUGACAAUUGUAGUAAAGAUGUAAGUAGGGAUCGUUCUAGGCCGGGGAUUAGGAGGGAUUGCUAAUCUACUUAAAACUGACUUAAAAACACAAAACUAGGCUUGAAAACACUUAACUAGACUCAAAUAACUCAAAACAAAUUAAAGAGACUCAAAACAGCACAAAAUAAUCAAAUAGACUCAAACUAGACACUAAAGGGUGAUUUGGACGAAAAUUGAUUUUAACUUGACUCAAAAUACUUAAAAACACAAGUUUGGAUAUAUUCUAACUAAUUUGACACAACAAAGUAAAGGGGAUUGGGUUUUUGACGAAUUUAAAGUAAAGACAAGUAAAUUAAAGACUUAAGCAAGUUUAGCACAAAAUUGGGGGAAAAUAUGGGUGAUUGGCUAGCUAGAGGGUUCUUCUCCACACAUGACACACUUGCACACAAAUCGAUUUCCAGUUGAUUUUCCAAUAAACCAUGAACCUCAACGCCCUAUAUUAACUGUGAACAGCACUAAUUAACCCUUUGAUUUUCGUUAAGUCAUUGAAUUGGAUGGACAACGCAUCGGCAACCAAAUUAUUCUUCAAUAGUCCCCUACAUGAAUAGCAUAAUAGAGAUACAAUCAAAGAUCAUUAAGUUUUGUGAAAAUCAUAAGCAUUGACAAGGCAUUUGUAACUAUGAACAACAUGAUACUCCUGCCAGAAAUCUACUUAACACGAUUGUGACUAACAACCUCCACUACUUAUGAAUAUAAGUUCAUAAUGAUUAGGUGAAACUCCCUUAUAUUCUAGCAUCAAAUUCAUGCAUGCAAACUAAGUGUGCACCCUUCAUCAACAUACAAGAAUGAGUUCUGAAUCAAACAGUUAAGUAAAUUGCAUUCAUGAUUUAUAGAAUCACAACUGGAAGUAAUCAAUUCAUAUUGCAAAAGCCUUGACGGCCCUUGAGAACUUUCACCAAUUCAAGAUCAAGCCCCGACUUGAAGAAAGUGUUCAUCAUUCAUCAUCCGUUCAUCCUAAGAUCAAGCCUCAAUGACCCUUUGGAUCAACAACAUCAACAAAUCCACACAUUUGUUCUUUAAGAUCAAGCCUAAAAGCCUUUGAAGGAACUUCGCUCAACCUUCAAGAUCAAGCCCCGAGGGCUCUUGAAGAAACUUCCAACAGUUCAUCCAAGAUCAAGCCUCGACGACCCUUUGAUCAACAAAACAUCCACAAAUCAACACUUGACGGUGAUCGAAUCAGAGGAUCAAGUUAUAAAGAGAUUGUAACCCUAAAAAUCCAUUAACACCAAAAUCUUUCUUUGUACACGUUGUUCUUGUUUCAGGAAUUUUAGUGUUCACACUCACCACCAGAUAUUAUGUAUCUCUCUUUCAUAGCCAUGGCACAGCAAUUGCUCGGCAAUCUCAACAAGUUAUGUGCAGCGCUUUUUCAUCGUCACAACAUGCCUUCCAAUUAUUUCCAAACCUUGGCUUCUUCAAUCCUCACCGCACCAUCUCCGCCGCCCAAUAUCAGAUUAAAAAAAAAAAGGAAAAAACUGAACCGGAUUGAAACCAAGCCGAAAAAUAAUCGAAACUGAAAAAAAAUGAACCGAAAAAAAAUUAAACCGAACUGAGCCGAACCAAAAUUUCGAUUCGAUUUCGAUUUUGAACCGAACCCAGCCCUAAGAUUGUGAGUUUGGCACUAGAAAGAGAGGAAAAGUGAUUGGACAUGUCAAGAAAGAAGAGAAAGAUGGGAAAAGAGGGGCUAUUGAGAGCAGAUAUAGGGAGCUAGGGCUCGGUGUUAAAACCUAGACUAUGCGUGCCAUCCUAGGUGAUGUGCAUCUCGGAUUGUAUGCAAGUGGCACCUUACCUUCAUUUAAGUGUUUGUUAUGUAUUCUAUAAAUGGUAAGCUAAAUAAUGUUUGUAUACUUUGAUAGGUUUUGACUGACUUCUAGGCCUUAAGUUGGCAUGCUUUCGAGAUCGCAUUUGCAUUGGACAUGAGGUGAGUAGUUUGUUUACUGUCCUUAUAUAGAAUAUCAAAAUGUGUAUAUGCCUCUAUGUAUGUCCUAUUGAAGUUAGCAUUGUAUGUAAUAUGAGACAGAGAUAAAGACACUGGUAAUGCGUGGUUGCUAGUAUAAAAUGAUGAGUCAGGGACUCAAUUAGAAUUUUCAAUAUAACUAGUAAUUAAGGGAAUCCUUUGUGAUGUUCUUUGUAUAACGAGAUGCUUGGUUGACACGUUGAACCGAUAGUGGAUGUGAUUAUUAUGUAAAUCAUGUUGGGUUGAUGUAUGGUAUAUGACGAGUGAUAAUGUGACUGAAUCAUGUAGCAGUAUGGUACAUGGAUGGUCCUACUUGGUUAAUUCGCAUUGGGCCAUGCAAUUAUAUGCAUGCCUAUGGUUCUGCUUGGUUAAUUUGCAUUGGGAAACCAUAAGCAUUCUAAAAGUGAUCAUCCUUGGUAAAUCGACAAUUGGUGACCACUUCCAAAUUGGAUUCCAUUGAAUUGGUCUGGAAUCUUACUUCAUAUAUGGUUAUUUUUUUUAUUUGGUCUGAAAACCCUAUAUUUUGUUAUAGAGUUGAAACUUAUCGUGCAACCAGAUAUGAAGUAAGAUCUAAACCUUAUAACAAUUCCUUUCGAAUUACUUUCUAAUAAUCCGGUAAUAAAGGCAAUCGACGGUUCAGAGAUUUCCAGACCAAUUCAAUGGAAUCCAAGGUUUUCAGACCAACUCGGUUAUAGAGUUCCAGCCCUUGUGAAACCAGACCUAGAUUUUUUUUCCUUCCUCCCCAUUUAUUUAUCAGUUAUAGAGUUGAAAUUUAUGGUAAAGUGAUGCAGUGAGGGUCACGGUAUCAACAGACAACUCUUUGCGGAGCAAAAAUUGACCUCAAAUCCAGUAAUUUUCUAUUGAAAGAAGAAUACUUGUGAAUUUUGAUUUCCUAUAAAUAUGGCCUUCCCAUGUUAAAGUCUAAUGUAAAAAAAAUCUGAAAAAGAUGACUUCACGAUGUUAUAAAUAUUAAACGAUUUAGUGAUAUGCCUCUUCACUUGUAAGUGAAAGGUUUUAGGUUCGAUUCUUAUCAAAGGUGAAUUUGAACCACAUUAUUGCUAGCUCAUUAUAAGGCUAAACCCACCAUCUCCCCGUUAGUGUAUAUAAUAUUGUUUGUUCAAAAAAAAAAUUACAUAUUUUUUCCUGAAAAAAAUGUCUUAACUCAUUAAAUUUUGAUAAUUUACCCUUAAAAGUGUAUCACAUCCAAGUUUUUGAAAUGUAAAUUGUUUCUGAUUAUUUGAUUUAAUAAGUUGCAAUGGUGCUUAAGUCAAUAGAUUCAAAUGUAGGGCCUCGAUUCAAUCCUUCCAUAUAUGACUUAAAUUGUAGCCAAGUGUCAUGCCAUUAUUGAUGACCGUGUGUAUGGCUUAGAUUGGAUUUAGCGCAAAGGUGUAAGAGAAUGUUUUGCUAAUUUGUGCUCUGCAAUGGAUUGAGCCGCACCUUUCCUUACACAGAAAUAUACAAAACUUUCGUUCUUUGAGUUUUUCUUCAGUCUUAUUUCCCAAUCCAUAACUUAAGAAAACAACAUCAAAUACUAAAAACCAACACAAGUCACGUAAUUUAAAUUGAAAAAAAUUAAAUAGCUUACAAUCUAGUAGAAGGGAAGAAUUUGGAGGUUUUAAUGAACUUAAGGACAUUUGUUUGAAAAAAUAUCAUUAAGGAACUUAAUUUUUUUAAAUGGUACGAUUAUGAGAGAUAUGUUGAAAAGUGUGCAAUUAAGGAAAUGAACUCAAAUAAAAACUAAAAACUAUUUUUAGCUUGCAUUUACUUUGAAGAUUUUGUUUUUGUUCAUUUUUCUUUGUUUCCUUCAUUCCCUUCCACCAGUAUUCUUCAUCCCACAUUUCCUCCAAAUAAUUUCUCCAUAACUCAUACACAUAAAAAUGAAAAUUAAAAAUAGAAAACAUUUUGAUUAUCUCACAAAUAUGAUCUCACAUUUCCACCAUAUAAUGUCCCUUUAUAUUUAUGAAAUAGUUAUUAGCACUUAAAAGUCAUUAUUCACUCUUUAAAUAUAUAGAUUUGACAAACCGGCGUUAUAUCUCUCAAAGACAAGGAGCAAGAAAUAAUUGCUUGGUCACAAGCCAGUAAUUUCUUUCUAAUUAAUAUGUGUAGUAGAUUACCAAGAGAAGUUUUCCACAAACAUUCAUCGUUUCAGCCAAAUAAUGUAAAUUAGGGUUUUCUUGGUUGAGGCAAUAGUAGGACUUCAAGCUAGGCAAGUAAUUAUGCAACUUUGAUCGUAGCAUGCAUGUCUAACUAGCAAGUUACCAAAAUUUAUUUUAAAUAAAAAAGAGUGAAUUCUUGAUCAAUUGAAAUUUACCGUCCACCAUGCCAGUGGAAGAUAUAUACAAAUGAUCGAUCAUCACUUAUUUAUUCAUUUUCUUAAUUCUUAAUAACAUAGCUUAUCUUCUUAGAUAUAUCCAUCAGCAAAAACUGCUAGAGUGGUUGUUGAUUCUUCCAUAGCUAGUAUGGCUUCUGCCCAACAUAGUUGCCUGGGGGAUCAUAGUUGCAUCCAAUGAAGGUACCCCCACUACUGCACCUAACUUUUGCGCACCCUACACGAGCCGAGUUACGCCAAACCACCUGUGUAUAAUGCCCACACACCUUUCCAUCAGCACAAGAGUUCGACUCAUAACUGUAGUCGGCUUUCUCCGCCACCCACAUGUCCACAGCCGCUGUUCCCGACAUGUCACCAGUGCUCAUGGCAAGGUUUUCGCCGUAUGGCCCACCGGAGUGCACGAGAUUGCAGUCACCAACAUGUUGGUUGGCGUAGUUUUGUGCAUAGCCUGCUACUUUGUCAUCCCACGUCAAGGGACCAACGCCUACUGCUGCUCGAGCGUCGUUGUGGGACUUGAGGUAGUCUUGGGUGUGUCUUGGGCAUGAGAGGAUUGGAUAAGGACUGAGCCUAAAAUGAAAAGGAGAGCUAGGGAAAUAUUGCACAACCCCAUGUUAAUGGUUUGUUCUCUUUGUGGAUGGGCAAAUGAGAUGCUAUGGUGCGGAGUAUUUAUAAUAGCGGGGAACGGUAAAUGUUGAUAUUAUGAGCUCUAAGAAAUUGAGGCAGAAAUUGAGGCAGAAAUUGAGGCUGUGGAAAUUUAUUUGCAUGACUAUCAAAGUUGAACGUUCACAUUACGUUAUCAACUGAAGAAACCAAACCGUCACUGAACUGAUAAAACAAAACCCUACUUCUAUAUUUCUUUACUUACAACGGCUUACUUUUACAAGUAAAAUUUAUGAGAGGAUUAACUUUUUUUAGUACUACAAGCGAUAUUCUAUAUAGUCUAGACGAAGAUGGAGAGAGUUUGAACUAGGAAAGAAGAUCUGAACCACUAUGACAAUCUACCACUUACAUGAGAAGUACGAAGAUUAGUCAAACUUUCUCGAGGUAAUUAAAUUGUCAGUAUAACAAAAAUAAGCAAUCGCAACAGCAAAAACGUGGCUACUGCUGGGGUAACAAUAAUAUCGAUCACUGACCUAGAUAUUAUGUUGCUAUGUAAUACUUUAAUUUCCCGAUAUUUGUUAACACAAUUAACAAUCCCUUGAAACCUUUGAAAUUCAUGUUGAUGAUGCAACAUUGGAACAAAUUGGAACUAAUUGCUUUGGUAAAUAAGCAGAUCUGCUUCUUCUUCUAAUUACGUUUGUCAUAUCUGUUUAUUUCUCUUUUAGAAAGGUAUAUGAUGGAUGCAUGUAGGAAACGUAUAUGUUCAUCUGUUGAAGGAAAGGUCUACUAAGCCUUCCCUCAAUUUCGGGGAACAAAUUGAUUAUCGUAAUUGUUGGAUUCAUGUAUGCAGUAAACUUUGAAAAAGAAAAUUAAGUCCGAUGCGGAAAAGCAUAUUCUAUGCACCGUUGCAAUACGUGUGGUAUACGGGUCUUCUCCGAAGUUUUAUUUUCUUGAAACAAAUAUUUUUAAAUGUGGAAAUCUUACUAAACUACACAAUCACCUAACCAUAAAUUUGGUAUUAUUAAUGGUUUUGAACUCCUCUUUAGGAAAACCGAAUUUAAGACUUUCAACUUACAAGUUAGGAAAAAAUGAAUACCACUACAUUGCAGUAGUAGAUCCACAAGUCUUCUUUGGAUUAAAUAAAAUAGAAUAUUAUGAAACUCUCAUUUUUUACCUAACAUUGUAGAGAAGAAUAAUUGAGUUAAGUCACACAAUUGUUAGGGUUCAAGAUUUUUAUAUAUUAAUUUCGUUGUAGUAAUUGAGAGAAUAAAGGACUGCAUUUUCUGAGAAUGAAAGAUGUAGUUGCAGAGAGAAUAUUUGAAGGACUGUAUAAGAUGCAAUACAUUACCAAUCCUUUCAUAUAUUUUAUAAUAUACAUAUUUAUUUGUUUAAUUACUACUUUAAGUUUUAAAAUUGUUAAAUUAUUUUUUCUUACUAUAUUAUAACAUAUGAAUGAAUAACAUCAUAUUACCGUUAAUACCGUGUUCAAAAGGGAUAUCCAUUGUACGUGGUUUAGUGUUAUCCGCGAAUGUCCUCAACGCAGGACUUUUACCCUAAUUGUGAUGGCAUUAUUAGCAUUAGCAUACUUUUGGGCAUAAAGGCUGCUACGUCAGCAUCCUACGUCAGAGGGCAAAUGUCACCUUUGGUAACACCUUGAGACGCACGAAAAUGUGGGACACGAUGGCCUGUAUGUAUUGGGAUAUUGAUAAUACUUGGAUACUCUCCGGGGAGUACCCAAUAUACACACUAUCUUAUGUGGCACACUAAAAUAAAGACACUUGGCAAAACUUAAUCUUCAAAUUCUUAACCAAUUAUUUAGCCAAACACUCAGGUACCGUUUGGUACGGGACGGAAUGGAGUGGGACGAGGCGUUCCGUCCCAUGUUUGGUGCGCCUAAAAUUGGUGGAACACGUUGUUCCACAGGACGAAUUUUGGGUGAAUUUUCGUUCCGUCUCACCCCCCUGGAACGACUUAUUCCACAUUCGUGGAACACAAAAUUAUAACCUCUCUGUCUCCUUCUUCUUCCUCCUUGUUUCCAUCCGAGGCGAUAUUUGCUACCUCUCCGUUCCGUUACAUCUUGUGCCGUACCGUCCCGUCCCGUUCCGUUCCGUUUGUCCCGUCCUGCCUGCAUACCAAACGAUACCUCAUUAUUGUGUUAGCCAAACGCCCAUCUUCAUUCACACCAAAUACACCGAGAUUUAAGCCACUGGCACCAGCAACGGUCCUCUCCCACGCCAGUGGCCACGGUCUUUGCCGUACAAUCACCGGCAAUGGUCCACUACCACAAGGCACCAACCAUGGUCCUCUCCCACCAGGACACCACCCCCGGCCACGGUCGUCUCCGAUCACAAACCAGCGUCUUCAUCCACUACUAUCAGCUACCGUCCCUCGCCGGAACUCAUGGCAUCUUCAUCGUUGUAAAAUCUGGAUCUCACGUAAGAGUAGAAAACCGUGAAAACGAGCACCCAACCUAGGGCUAGGCAAACGGGUACAGGAACUGUGGGUCGGGGAGGGUAAUAACGGUUCGGGGCGGGUACAGGCCAAUUCCUACUUUUAAAAAAGAGAAACAGGGCGGACCUUUGUGAUUUUCGGUUCAGGCCGGUUCCUGAAGUAUAGGAAUCGCGGGUAUACCCAGACCGGCCCGUUUGUAAUUAAAAUGAAUGGACCAGAUUGAUGAAUAAGCUACCAUAUCUAAUCUGAACCGUUGUUUUAGUUUUACCUAAGUUCUCUAUCUCUUUCAUCUUAUCCCGAUUCCUCUCGACUCUCAUUCUCACUCUCUCAAACUCUCAUACCUCAGUCUCUCGACAGUUCCUUUCCCUCGACUCCCUCGACUCCAAUCCCCUCACCAACCGUCGAUUCUCCUCGACGAAUACAACGGAACCACCCAUCAUCCUCCUCGACAACAUCCCAGAGAACACAGGCCAUCACCCUUGCCGUCGAUUCUCUCCUCUUCGACAGCAACCCCCGCCGUCGUGACCGCCAUCACCCCAUCCCCGUCGUCGAUGACACUGGUACCAGCCAUCAUCCCUUUAAAAUUUAGGUAAUUUUGAAUUAGGGUUUUGUUAUUAAUUUGAAUUUUGGGUGUAGGGAUUUUAGGGUUUUUAAAUUAGAAUUGGGAUUUUAGGGUUUUCAAACUAGGUUACUAUAGAUGCUGAAUGUAUAUGGUUGUAUCUAUGCUGCAAAUGUUUUUUUCUUGGAGUUGUUAGAUGCCUCAAUACUUUCGAACCUUGCCCUUCUUCAAAGAUUCACGCAGGGGAGGUUGUCGAUAGACCUUUUUCGCAUACAUUCUUGGGGUGCAAUCUCUUGCACCAGUACUCCUGAAUAUUUGAUAUUGAACACAUAAUAAACAUAAUGUAGGAGAAUUUAGAGAGAUUGGUUAAUGUUCCAUUUGCAUGUUGAUUUGUAAGAGGUUGUGUUUAACCCUCUAUUUCGGAAAACAUGGUUGCAUUUUAUAGCUAAAAGAAAAAGAAGUUUUUAGGGUCCUCUUUGAAAACCAUGACUAUUAAAGUGUGUUUGGAUAAGGGACUUUAAAGUUCCAAGAAACUUAAGGCUAAAUGGUUAAAAAUCACGACAAGAAGACUACCAAUGCACUAUUCAAGCACUACCAAGUUUCUUCUAGCACAUCAUAAAGAGACAGAACAAAGAACUUCCAAAUGACACCUAGAAAGGUGUGUCAUUUCAAAAUUCAAAGUUUUCUUAUGCGUAUUGCACCUAGUUAUUUUCUUCCUCUUAUCUAAUUGUUGCAGUGCAUCCUAUCAAAUAUAGCCCAAGAUCUAUGUUACUUUAAAGUCCCUAAUCCAAACGUGCCAUUAAAGUCACAGUUAGAGUUCCCUUUUUGAAGUGAUAAUUUAAUAACUUUAGCAUGGUUAUAUUUAGCCUCUUUGAAGUGGAAAAUAUUACAUCUUGAAAGUUUCAUAUUUCAGCUUCAAUUUCACAAUUUGUCAACUAAAAGAGAUAAGGGAAUAGCUUCUUGUGUAAAUUUUAUAUUUCUCAGAUGUCAUUUUAUACUUGAUUCCUUUUGUGUAAUUAUUUACAGUAUGUAAAUAUGCAUUUAUUCAGGUAUAACUGUGCCAAACAAUGUAAAGUUUCUGAUUUGAGAGGCAUGCAGUAUAACUAGGUAUAACUAGGUUUAAAGUUUCUUAUUUAACUCAUAUUUGACUAGGUUUAUGUUUUAGUCUCUUGGACUUUCGGAUAUUUUGUAUGUUGAUUUGAUUUUUAGAUGUUGGACAAUGUAAUAUUGUUAUUUUGGAUGUAUUGUUAAUCUAUGAACUUUGAUGUUGGACUUUGUAUUUAGAUUGGAUGUGAAUAAUGGUGAAUUUGUGCAAAAUCUGCAUAAAUGUAGUUUGUCACUUUCUGCAGACUGUGCAGUUUGCAAUCUGUGCAAAUCUGUGCAGUUUGCAAAUAUAUGCAGUUUCAUAUCUGUACAGAUUGCAAUCUGUACAAUUUUUUUUUUCAAACAACAAAAAAAAAGGGACCCGUGGACCCUGCCCGUUUCAACCUGGCCGGGUAAUGUCCGGUUCCUAUAUUAGAAAAUGUAAUCCCCGGCCGGGCCCGGCCCGUUUCCUUUGAACCUAGGUUCGAUCAGGUCCCUUCAAAUUGGGCCCGGCCCGGCCCAUGCCCAACCUUAACCAACCCCAUGAGCCAUCGUCCUCUCCGUAUGAAAAUCAAGGAACCCAUAUUUUUGGAUUGCCAGAUUGGGCUUCUGGAAAUGGAAUCUUCCACCACAAUUAGAUUGCCAUGAUUUUUUAAAAUAUGAAAAUGAAAGUGUUUGUCUGAUUGUGUGCUUUGGCGAGGAAGAAGGUGAGUGUUUGGCUACAGGAAUAAAUGAUGUUUGGUUAAGUGUGUGGGAGAUUUAAAUAAGGACAGAUGUCGUUGUUUUAUUAUGCCACAAAAGAUAGUGUGUAUAUUGGGUACUCCCCGGAGGGUACCCAAGUAUUAUCCUUGGGAUAUGGUGUGGAAAAGCUGCUUUGUUGAAGUCCACAUAAUUUUUUUUAAAUUUAAAAAAAAAUAUAUUGGAACCAUGUAUGUCUUUGGUUCCGGACGGAAGUGUAGGACACUAUGACCUGUAUAUAUUGGGAAGUGUGGAAAAUAUGGGACAUCUCUUUUCUUUAAAUUAUUGUAAUAAUUUUGAAUCAUUCAUCCUCCCCCUAAGAAUAAUAAUUUACAAAAAAUUGGAACUAUAUUAGAUCAAGCCUUUAGUCACAGAAGAAAAUGUGGACACGAUACCAGUAUGUAUUGGGAUAUAUUGUAGAGAAUUUGCUUUGUUAACGUCCGAAUGGAUUUAGGUACGACUAAAGUUGUAAUAUCGUUAGUUGUCAUUAGUAUUACUGUUUAGUGAAAUUAUUCUCCAUUUGUUAGUGGGGAGGUCUCAGUUUAACUAUGAGUUCAAAUUUACUUGUCACGUCCCGAUUCCGACAUAUGUCUAGGAUCGACAUAUGACAUCACUCAGUACUCGUAUAUCUAACAUACCUGCCUCCAGGAUAUGGACAAGCACAAGAAAUAUUCAAUUGUGUAGUAAUUUUUCAUGUACUUUAUGGCUACAUCUAACCUCUUUGUUAGACUACCUUCGUACCCUCCGACGAGAUCAAGCCAUUCGUAGUUCACCAUUUGUUAAACUAUGAACUAUUCGUAAAACACUUCCUAGCAGACAACAUAGAGUACCACACUACAUAUCAACCAUAAGCCAAACAUGAGUUAUCAUCUUACCAACACACAUAUGCUUUCCAACACCAUUCAACAAUCACAUCAAUCAAUAACACAUACAAUGCACCAAAAUGCAGGGUUAGAGCGACACAGUUAGGCAGAAGCUUGCAUCCCUGAAGCUUUCUCAAUUUAGACCGAAUCCAACGAAUCAACGAAGUCAACAAUGUGAUUUCGAACCACUCAACGAAAUCCUACAAAAUAGGGUUCCGGACCACUUAACGGAACCAAAGUACCAAACAGGAUUAUGGACCACUCAACAGAAUCCAAACCAGGAUACGAUUUCGGACCACUCAACAGAAUUGUAGAGUAUAAGGGAUUCUGGACCUUUCAACGGAAUCUGAGUGGAUACGAUUUCGGACCACUCAACGAAAUCCAGACGAAGCAAGGAAUCAGACCACUCAAUGGAAUCGAGUGGAAGUCUAAGAAACAUAACAACGGCUCAAAGAAACAAGACAUGAAUCAAGUUACUUAAUUUAGAAUGGCUCAACGAAACGAGAUAUGAAACAAGGUUCACUAGGAGCCCUCACAUUUCAUCAAACAAUUCAACAAGCACUUCGAAUCACAUUUCAUAAAUAUCACCAACACACAAGUCAAAUCACAUUUAAUAAACAUAGAUCAAUGGCUAAAUAUUAAAAAAAAAAUCACAUUUCAAUAGAAAUCACAUUUAUAAAAUCAAGUGAUAUUCACAAAGGAUACUAAAUACAAAAUCAGGGUAAUAACCAUAUCACAUAUCUUUAAGUCAUUCACUAACCAAUGUAGGCCCACUAGACUUCACUUAGUCUCUAGUAGUACUAAUUUUAGUAUUUAAGAACGAUUCAAAUCAUGUUGACCAAAAGUCAACUCUCUGUCAACGGUGGGUUCCACAACCCUACAUAAUUCGAUUUGGAACAUCUUCCCAUAGAUUUCCGAUCCGUAACCUCCUAAGAGUCUCAUUAAUCUUCUAGAACAAUAUUCUAAAAUUUUGAAAUGAUCCAACGGUCGGAUCUUCGCCAAUCGCGAAAAAUAAAUUGCUGUCAACAUUUGGUUUUACAAACUUAGAAAUUCAAUUUGGGAAGAUCCGUACGUUGGAUUUCCAAUCCGUAAGUUCCUAAGGUCCUCAAAUAUUAUGUUUAAUAACAUAUUAACAUUCAAUGACAAUCUAACAGUUGGAUCUUUGUUUGCUACAUUAGUCAAGUGGAGGACCCUAAUGGAACUAGGUCCAAACGAUAGAAUUUCAUCGAACAGAGGUCAAUUAUGAAAUUAGAAUAUCAAAUUUAGCCUAGAAAUUUAAAGUUGGCUCACUGGCCAAAUGCAACAUGAGCCACCGCAUGCGGCGGUUUCCAGUAAACGGAAACCCAAUUUUCUAACUAACUCCAAAAAUUACCAAAAUUUUAUAAGAUUGUAGAGCACAACAAGGGAACAACUUUCAUACCUGGGCUGAAGUCCAAUUCGGUAGGGAAACGCCUAACCCUAGAAUUGGGUGUUCAUAAAUGGUAGAUUUGUCGCAUGCACCCAUGAAGCCCUCGACUUUGAUUUUCACGAAAAGACACCAAAUCAACUCAGGUUUUGGGUGGAAAUGGAAGAAGACUUGAUGCUGAGUUGCUUCCAGGUAAUGGGUGGCUACAAAUCGCCAGAAAAACCACCUGAAAAGGCAUCGAAAAACAUGCCGGGUUCGAUCUCGGCUCAAUGGGAGGGAUCUGAUUUCCUCAUUCUCUCAUACCUCAUUUCCCCUCCUUGCUUUCCCUCUAAUUCGCCUGUCUCUCCCUCAUUUCUCUCCUUAUCUCUCCAUCCAAGCCACACACGUGGCACCAAAUCAGUGCUCCAGCAAAUCUGGAGCCUUCCAGAUAAUGGUCAAAUGACCAUUUCACCCUUGUCUUUACUCGUUUAUAUCUCGUUUGUUAUAGCUCCGUUUGGCAAACAAUUUUCGCCUAUGCACUCAUGAGGUCAAGCUCUAUCCAAAUAUGUAAAUAAAAGUGACAAAACAUAUAAGAAUUAAAUACAUUCUUGAAAAAUCCGUUUAGUUCAUUAAGGUCAUUUUCAUCCUUUUACUUAUCGAAAAAAAAAACUAUACGCCGUAAUUAUAAAUGCGUCGAAACUAAGAACACGAAAUACAUAAUUUUAAAUAGUGAAAUAUGGGGACAGGAUGUCAUAGCCCGUCCCGAAAUAUUUAUUUUCAACAGCGUGAAAUUACUUAUUUAGCCUUGGACUUUUAUGUGGUUAUGUGGGUUAAGUUUUAUUUGGACCAAUUCAUAGGUUUUCCUAAGUUUUUGGAACACUUAAGACUUAAAGUGUUUGUUUUGUGUAUUGGAAGACCAUGUAGGACCACCACACACCGACACACACACUCAACCUUUCCCCCGUGCCCUCUCUCUCCUAUCCCUUUCGAUUUUUCUGCAACAUCCGUACAAGUGUACGGACAAAUCUCGAACCCUCUCAUUUAGACGUAGAACUCUAACCUCGAGAACUUGAAAGCUUUAAAACCCCGAGAACUCUAACCCCAAAUUUCAUGCACUAAUUAAUGUGAGGUUUUUAGGAGCUUUUAAGGACAUAGGGAGCUUUGGAUCAUCUUCACGAAGCUUGGAGAAGAAAACCCAAGCGAUUUGGACAUCGGGAAAUCAAGUUCGUCGAGUUUUAAGUUUUCGCUGGAUUAUUGAGCUUUCUCUGGCGAAUUUUCAUGGAUUUCAAGCCUUAAAAUUGGUAUGGAUGUGUUCUUCUAGUUAUAAGCUUUAAAUUGAGACCAAUUUCAUGAGUUUUAGUUAAGAAAUGACUGAUAUAUAAUGAUUUUAAGAUUUUCCAGUUUCCGGCGACGACGACGGUCGCCGGAGUUCGAAGGUAGGGGAUAACGGAAUAUUCCGUCAACUUUGACGAAAUAUUCCUAACGGCGACUAAUGAUGUUGGUUGAUUUUAACAAAAUAUUUCUUAAAUUUAACGAAAUAUUCUUAACAGCCGUUAGGCCUCAGUUAAGGUUUGGCCACAUGUGGGGGAGCGUAGGGUCGUGCCUUCGCCAGCGCAUGGCGGCGCGUGGGCGGUCAGAAUUUUUUUCUAAAAAUAUGGGGAUGUUCGUGAGGUUCAUCUCGUUUGAGCAAUAUAUGAGAAGUUAUUAACUGGUUUUGUCUAUGUGGUUUAAAUAACGUUUAUUCAGUUAUUUUACAUAUAGGUGAGACCUAUCCAGAGGACGAGCGCAGUUAAGGGCGACUCGGGGGCUACAACCCUUCGACAUACCAGUGAGUGGGCUUUUGGUUUUCAAUAUAUAUUUAUAUACUUGAUAUUUUCCCAUAAAAUGUGUUUAUAUGAAUUAGUAUAUGAUGAAUAAUGUGAAUUGGUGUUAUGGAUGCUCAGGUAAGUACCAAGUGAGUUAUGUUUUGUUAUGUGAAAUGUCGACAUUGUGAGAUGUGAUUGAGAGCUCAUAAACCUGCACCCCAGGUGAUUGUGAUUUAGCCACAGAUAUGGCACAUGUCUGUUUAUGAUGUCACAUCCCGCACCAUAUGCUCACAUUGGAUCCAAUUUAAGUGCACAUUCUUGUCGUACAGACCACUAUACAUGGUUCCGACUCAUAGGUGACUAGCGAUUUAUCGCACAGCUAUCAUGAGAGCGUAGCAUUGAGCAUAACUAUAUUACACACAGUCUUGUCGUACAGACCAUUACAGUGGUUCCGACUCGUAUGCAGUGUAGUGCCAUAUAGGUCACUUGUGGUGACUCCAACUAGAUCGAUUAAUGAGUUAUGAAUUCAGCUGUACAGACCUCUGUAAAGGUUCCAGCUAAUAUAUUGUUGACCAUGAACUUAUUUGCACCUGAGUUACUUAUUAUGUUCUAUAUUUGCCAUGGCAUACUUAUGUUUAUAGUUAUGUGAAGCAUGAUUUGAAUAUAUAUAGGGGUGUGAUAUUCACACACCCCAUUUUACUUUUCACACACCCUUCUAAUUUUCGGCCAUAGGAUCGAAUGAAUUAAAGAAAAUUAACAAGUAGAAAUUAACAAGGGGUGUGUAAGAAGUAAAAUAGGGUGUGUGGAUAGCACACCCCUAUAUAUAUAUAUAUAUAUAUAUAUUCUAUUUCUGGGAAAAUUAUACAUGUUUUACAGCGAGGGGUUAGAACACUUGAUAAAUGAAAUGGUCUUUGAAAAGCUUUGUUUUUGCCCACUCACACUUUAUGUUUUGCGCCCUUCCAGGUUCUAAGGAGGAGUGUUUGUUGGUGGCAUCGAGGAGUCAACGGCCGUUAUGACAGAUUAUAUCUAUGCAGGACAUCUUUGGGUGUCGUUUAAUUAGUAUUUGUUUUCUGGGCUGAACUUAGGCUACUUACGCUCUGAUUGUGUAUCCACACCUAUUCUAGUACUUGCCUUGACUAGUACUAUUAUGAGUUGAUUUUUAUUUAUUCGUAUUCCCUAUUAUCUUUACUACUUCCGCACUAUGCACAUGGCUACAUCACCCUCACGUGAUGGUCAGCAUGCCUUAACUCGGGUCGGGAUGUGUCACGGGAUUUCACACUACUUCCACCAAUGUUGUUGAUAUUUUUUUUAGGAUUGUACUUGGGUACUCACUAGUGAGUACUCACAUUUUGAUUGUGAUUAUUCAGCUUUUGAUUGUCCAAUAAUAUUUUAGGAGAAAUUAGGUUCACAUCCUUCUUUUUGCUAUUCCAUUGAUUAAAAUCCUAUUCAUUUUUCAAUUUUUGAUCAAGGUCCUUGGGUAUUAAUAACAUCAUUAAUUAUUUGAAUAAUAAAAUAUUUUUAUUUUUAAAUAUAUUCCUUUAGUGUUAAAAACGUCACAAUUAGUAUAUUUAUGGUUACAUUUUUAUCAUAUAUUUUUAUUUUUAGUUUGUACCAAUUUUUUUUUUCAUUUUUAAUUUGUACUCAUAUAUUAGUUUCUUUUUGUGCCCAUAUUUUUUAAAGUUUUAUUUGUGUUUGUACCCAUGUUUAUACCAUCACAUGACAUUGUCUAUUUAAUCAAUGAUAGAAAAAUUGCAUAUGGUAUAUUUAUGUUUUAUGCCUAAAUUUUGUAUCAUGUAUUUAUAUUUUUAGUUUGUACCCACUUUUAAUUUGCAACAUUUUUCUUAAAUUUUUAGUAUUUUCUUUUUAGUUUUAUUUUGUACCCAUGUAUUAAUUUCUUUUAGCGCCUAUAUUUUUUUAAAAUUCAUUUGUACUCAUAAUUUUUUUAAUCUUUUAUAUGCACCUUAAUUUAUUUAUAAUGUACUCAUUCUUCUUUAUUAAUGUACUACUUUGUUAUAUGUGAAAUGUACCAAUUUUUUUGUAAAAUGUACCAAUUUUUUUAACACUAUGGAUACAUUCUUUUGCUAUUUAUUAUUUCUUAUUUUUACAUAGUUUUUUUUUCAUUUAUUCAAUCAAAAUGUUUGAAUUUUUUUUAUUGUAACCGUUUAUAAUAGUAUUAUAAUGAGGGAUUUUAAAUUUAUAGGAUUAUAAAUCUCAAAAAAUAUCAAACAAUUAAUGUCAAAACUAUAAAAAUAUAAAUAUUAAUUGUAAUACAAUGAGGUGUACAAAGUCAAUGGACUUUGAUCAAACUUUGAAUAUCAUUAAGGUUUUAGUAAAAGAAUGUUAAGGAUUAGGGACCUCAUCCAAAGUUUCCCAAUAUUUUAUCACAUAUUUUAUUGUUUUGAAAAAUAAUGCACAUAUGUUAAUAACUUUUCUUGGGUAAUAAAAAAAUAAAGAACAUAUGACAUUUCUUGAAUCGGCCAAAAUCAGAAAGUGAGUACAUAGAUUGGUGAGUAUUUAUGUAUUUAGGGUUAGACUAUUAUUUAAUCUCUGAGAAAAAUUUGGCCUUCUUUUUUUAAUGCUUGAUUUGACCCAAUUAUGUAUUUUGAAUGUGGAAUGCUUGCUAACAUCAAAUACCUAAAUGUUGGAACCAAAUCCAACCUGCAAAACAGUAAAACAAUUGUGAGCAAUCCUUAAACCCAGGGGGAGAUGGGUGUUCAUGCCAAAAGCUUUCCAACGGUCAAGUAAGUGAAUGAUUUUUAGACUUAAGCAGUGAGCAAGAGAAUUGAAGUGUAUAGAUUGUGUUACCGUGGAUGCGUCCUAGGUGGGUGUAUUUAUAGUGUGGGAGAGAGACCUUUUUAGGAUAUAAUCCUCGUUCUAAGCCGAAAGAAUCCUAAAUGAUAUAUAGUAAGUAGAUAUUGUAUCCUCUUAGGAGUUGUGAUUACUUGCAGCGCAGGCCUAUCCUAAGAUUGUAGGGACUCCAAGAGACUUAUAGGCUCUGAUUGUGUCCAUAUUCGGAUCAGAUCACAUAUGGAACAAGCAUGGUCAUCUAACGAAGUCGUUAGGACUCCGCCUAGUGCCCCAGAGUAGAAUGAUGGUAGCACCCUGUUUCGUCUGAUACAGCUCCACCCAGAGUUAGAGCUAGUGAGUCCAUGAUCGAACUUCUAAGGUAACAACAAUAGAAUUAGACUCACUCUGGCCUUGAAAAAUCAUGGUCCCCCGCUGAAUUCAUUAAAAAAACAAUUUCUCAGCAAGUUAACCUACUAUUAAGGAAUACCAUAAUUAUGGUUCAUGAAUUUUCAUUGCUGGAGUAAGGCAGAUCGAAAUACUAAUACCUCAAAAGUUCUAUCAUGGACUCAACAACUUCAGCCGCGAAGCUGCAUAAAUGGAUCAUGGAGCAGUGUUGUCACUGUCAUCCUGUUUCGGAGCAGUGAGUGAAGUUCGUCAACUUCACUAAGAUUGACCAUACUUGUUCAGUAAGACAUAGAAACCUGAUCCAAUAAGGAAUCAGCCAUGUUUCCUACAUUAUUGGAAUCCUUACAAUCUAAGGAUUGACGUGUGGCUAAAGUAAUCAUACUCCUAAAAGGAUGCAAUAUCUACUCCAAGGUAUAAUCUAAGAUUGUCCCAGUUUAACAUGAAUUCCAUUUUCUAAAAGGACUUUAUCUUGAUUGGUAUAAAUACACCAUUCUUAGAUUCAUAUCUAGUAACACAGUUAUGCACACUUAUUCUCUUGCAUAUAGCUUGAGUUUCAUAUAUUUUUUACUAACUUGGCCGUCAUAAAGCCUUUGACCUGCACCCCUAGUCCUUGGCUGCUUACGUUGUUUGUUCUUUUACAUGUUAAACGAGUUUGUGCAUCUCCUCCACACACGGUGGUGCACACAUUUAGUUUUAGCAAAAAUGUUUGUUAUACAAACAAAAACAAAAAGUCGAACACAAUGAACACAUAAAAUCGCAGCAUGGAUAUUCAAUUGAUAUCUAAAUACGUCUAUAUUAUAUCAUGAAACUCCUAACUAAAAUAUGUUGCUACCAGGUAUUAUAUUUAUAUCCAUAUGGCAAAGCAUAGAAAUUAAGACUAACAAUUUUGUUAGAAAAAUCUAACAAUAAUAAUAAUCAUGGCUUUAAUCAGCCCCUUUUUUUGUUACCUAAUUAAAAGGUAAAAUUGAAGAACAUAGGUUGGGAAAACAAAAUCACAAAGAAUACAUGAAACCGACACCUGAAGCAAAAAGGAUGGUGCGGAGGUGGGAUGCAUACCUAUUGUAUAGACUGGUAGACAACCCGCGGAAAAGAUAUCUAUGGGAUAGGCAUGGUGGAAAGAAGGCAAUAAGAGGAGGAAGAAGAAUACUGCUUUGAAUCUUCAACAAUGACUACCAUGGUGGACAGAAAAUAUAUAAAUCAAUUUGCACACAUGUGGAUGCAAAUUUUCGCCUUAUUCUUCUUGAACAAAAAUGCACCUGCAAAAUAAUCAAGACCUAAAAUCAAGGCCAAGAGCCUCACGUGCCCACGAUGAAUGGGGGAGCUUUGGCCGAAGAAUCUCCGAUGCUAAAGUUAGAAUUUGAGAGAAAGUGUUUAAAGAAUUUUUGGGAGAGAAUUAGACUUAGGUUUUUGGAAAAAUGAGGGGCUAUAUAUAAGAGUGUGGCCAACCCUAUUAGGAGAAUUGGGACUCGCCACAUAUGGUUGAUUUGUGGGAUUGAUUGCAAAAUAUUAUGUAAAUAAUAUCUUGUAAUUAGUUUGGUAAUUAAUCAAUUAAUUUGCUAAUUAAUCCCAAUUUGAAAAGAAUAAUUGGAAAUUACCUUGUGGAUGAGGAUUUGAUGAGGAGAGAUGAGAGGGUUUUAAAAGAAUAUCAUUUUGACACCUGUCACCUCGAUUGAGCCUUUAUUGUCUGUUGCAUGCGCGUAAGAAUUUCGGUGUGCCUUAAGGUAAUUUUUUCUUUUUAUCCAAAGUUCAAGUGUUGCCUCCAUAUUUUUCUUAAUUAUUUUUGGCUCCACAAACCUAGACUAUGUAUUGACUGGUAAAAGAAGGAAACAUAUUGUCAGGAAGAUCAUCUUGCAUGCAUUCAUCUUUGAACUAGGAUUCUCUUCCCCUCUUGUUUUCAUUUUCUUCCAUUUUCUCUUCUCAUAUUCUUUAUUUUGUCUUUAUAUUCUAUAUAAAACAAUAUAAAAUGUUGAUGUGAUUUAAUCAUAAUCGUUCAUAUAGGAAAUGAGGGAAGGAGGAAAAAAAAGAAGGGAGAGAUAAUCCUACUCCCUUUCAUCUUCUUGGAUCUCUCUUUUUCCUGACGACAGAUUGAAUAUUUUUCUUCUUAUUGCAGCUUCCUCUUCUCGCCGCAUUCUUCAACCCUAUUCAACAGUUACCCUUGUGACGGCAUCUUCAUCUUUGGAGGGCCCUUGCAGUCACAUGUCAUUGGAAUUGAAAUAACCAGAGGAUUCAUGGUCAAUGGUGUUUGACUGGAGAGGGUGAUUGAUGGGGUGGGCAAGGGUGGUGGUGAUUGAUGUUGGGUCAAGUUUCAACUUAAUUUAACUAUAAUUAUAUUUAAAAUAAUAAUUAGUAGAUAAGUAAUUCAAGUUGGCUAAUAAAAAGAUAAAAAUUACAAAGUAGUUAAUGCUUAGAUGUGUAACCCAAAAUCGUCUGUGUAUCAUAUACUUGGAACAAUCCAACUGAUGGUCCGAAGCCCUGUUGGAAUUUUGAUAAAGUAUCUCUCAAAUCUUCCAUUAUCUAAAGAAAAGACGCCGAUGUCAGGAUAUGUAAAUAAUUCUUGAACUACUGAAUGAGUUGAAUUAUCAGCAAAGUAAAUGCAAUUGCUGUUUAACUCUCUAAAAUCACUCGCCCGAAGAGAGAAGGAAGAACAGUCAGUCAAAAAUAAUACUUGGCCAUCCAAACUUUGUACAACAAGAAAUUUGCUACUCUCAGUGUCAAUUUUGAAUACUCGAAAGCAACUUACCCUAUAAUAUCUGGGAUUCUCAUCUUCGUCAUCAAUGUCAGAUUCAUUGUCGCUGGAAUAUACGACAUUCUCAUCUUCACUAUCAAUGUCAGAUUCAUUGUCGCUAGAAUAUAUGGCAUUCUCUUCUUCGUAUCAAUGUCAGAUUCAUUGUCGCUGGAAUAUAUGGUAUUCUCCUCUUCAGUAUCAAUGUCAAAUUCAUUGUCGCUGAAAUAUUAAUUUGCCAUUCUCCUCUUCUUCCUCCUCAUCAUCCUGGUCAUCUUGAUAAUUAUCAUCAAAGUUCUGUUCCACCUGAUCAUAACCAUCCUCAUUGUCCGCGUUUCUUGGAGCUUGAAAAAUAUGAUGCCAUUUAUGGAUUAACAGGACUUCAUUGUUGGUUGAUUCCAAUAAGGACUUCCAUGCGCCAUUGUACGUCACUGUGUAGCACUCGUGAUGAUAAAUGUCUGGUUCAAUCGGUUCGAUAUUAUCAUAUAUCAACAUCAAUUCCACUGCAUGAUCAUCUCCAAAUUGUAAGCUGUGAGCUACAAUAAGCUCAUUCUUAGUUUCACUAGUCACCAAAGAGUAUAGCUUUCCUGUACUGGAAAACAAUAACUGGUCAUGACCCUCAUUUUCAUCUAAUACCUCAAAGACACUCCAUGUUUUGUCCCCAGGUCUACAUAAACCCAAUACAUUAUGCGAAUCAAAAAUUGCCGCCACCAUGCAUCCUGGAUGAUCGACAUCUGAGGUAGAUAACUGAUAACAGUAUAUAAAGCAAGCAUAACAGCUUGUGAUCGUGUGUUGUAAUAGUGACAAGUGUAGUCAUCUUGUAAUCAUUGUGAUAGCUUAGAAAGUAAGCAAUCUAGUUAGCUAUAUACUAUAUAACUAUCAUUGUAAGAAGAUGAAAAGAGUUAAUGUGAAAAACAAAUAUCUUCUCUGUCUAAAAUUCUAUUUCUCUCUCUGAAUAUUCAUUUCUUCUUCUGCAAGAAUACAUCUCCUCUAUACCUGUCGAUAUCUUUACAUGGUAUCAUUCGCCGGAAAAGCUUCAUGCUUCACGGUUUCUUGAUCUUGGUUCUUCUGCUUCCGCUCUGUUUCUUCUAUUUCUUGAUUUUUUAGGGUUCUCAUUUCCCUUUUCUUCUCUGGUUCUCGGUGUUUACGAUACUGCACACCAGGUGUUUGUUCUUUUGUCUCAGUGACAUUUUCUUCGAGUUCUUGAUUCCUAUUCGAUCAUGGUGACUGCUACACAAUUGCAGAUUCUUCAAUCUCCCAUUACCUCUCUCAUCUCAUCAGUUUCAUCUUCUGUUUCUGUGAAACUUGAUGAUUCAAAUUACCUCACAUGGCAUUUUCAGAUGGAGCUUCUUCUCGAUGGUCAUGGCAUUAUGGGGUUUGUCGAUGGUACAAAUCCUUGUCCUUCGAAUCUGAGUGAUUCAACUGAGUCUUCCAGUGAUUUGCAUACCAGUGAUGCUUUCAAGAUUUGGAAAAUGCAUGAUCGGGCUCUCAUGCAACUCAUCACUGCCACAUUAUCUCCUUCUGCGAUUUCGUGUGCUAUCGGUAGCACGAGUGCUCGGGACUUAUGGGUGCGUCUUAAAGAACAAUUUUCAAUUGUUACUCGGGCUACAAUUUUUCAGAUGAAAUCUGAGUUGCAGAAUAUUAAGAAAGGUACAGAUUCCAUUUCCUUAUACCUUCAACGCAUUAAAGAAGCUCGUGAUUACUUGGCUGCUGCUGGGGUUAUGUUUGCUGAUGAUGAUAUUGUGAUUUUAACUCUUAAUGGUCUGUCUUCCGAAUACAAUACAUUGCGAUCCAUUAUUAGAGGUCGGGAGAAUGUUAUUUCUAUGAAGGAUCUUCGCUCCCAAUUGCUUGCUGAAGAAGCAAUGCUUGCUAAUGUUUCUGUUACUCCUUUCCUGUCUGCAAUGGUAGCUAGCAAUAUGUCUGUUUCGUCUAAGUCUUCUCAAUUCGAGGCCAAUUCACCUCAUGAUAAUUACUCCAACACUGGUCCUUCAUUAAAUGGUGGUUCGUAUGGGUCUCAAGGAAGUUUUUAUCAAUACAAUGGGUCUGGUUCCAAGCCUCCUUACCACAGGAACAAGGGUAAAGGCAAGUAUCAAUACAACUCCCGGUUUGGUAAUGCCAAGUCUGGUUCUUUUCAUAACAAUGCCCCUGGUAUUCUUGGUUCCUCUCCACCAACGGCACAAGGGUUUUUUCAGUCUUCUUGUCAAAUUUGUGGCAAAUUUGGACAUCUAGCUGUUACUUGUCGGUUUCGAAAUACUGAGAAUUCUAUUACAGAGGCUUGUCAAAUCUGUGGGAAAAAGAAUCACAGUGCUCCUUUCUGUCAUUUUCGAAAUGCCAAUCUCCAAGCUCAGCAAGUGUCAGCUAUGCAUGUUGCUGGUCCAUCCUCUGUUCCGAGUGCUAAUUCUCAACAAGUGUGGCUUACAGAUUCUGGGGCUACAUCUCACAUGACUGCUGAUCUUAAUCAGUUGUCGUUGGCCUCUCCAUUUCCUUCCAAUGAGACAAUUCAAACUGCUGGAGGUGGUGCAGGUUUAUCAAUUUCCCACAUUGGUUCCUCAACUUUACAUACACCUUUCAAACCCCUGCAUCUUAAUUCAGUCUUAUAUGUUCCUCAACUCUCUCAGAAUUUGUUAUCUGUGCAUAAAUUGUGUCUGGAUAAUAACUGCUGGUUAAUCUAUGAUGCUUUCUGUUUUUGGAUCCAGGACAAAGCCACAGGGAGGAUCCUCUUCAAGGGACAUUGCAGUAAUGGACUGUAUCCUAUUCCUCUACCAGUUUCAUACCGUUCUUCCUUACCCAACGUACACGCUGCUUUCCUUGGACAACAUGUGUCUUCGAGUCUUUGGCAUAGUAGAUUAGGACACCCAUCCAAUUCUAUAGUAUCUGCCAUAUUACGCAAAUGCAAUGUAUCUGAUAUAUCUGAUAGUAAGUCUGUGAUGUGUCACUCUUGUCUAGAAGGGAAAUUUUGUAAAUUGCCAUUUGUGGAUUCUGUCUCUAAGUCCCUGCAUCCUUUUGAUACUAUUCAUAGUGAUGUAUGGGGUCCUUCUCCUUGUAACUUUGUAGAGGGUUUUAGAUACUAUGUGACAUUCAUUGAUGAAUGCACUAGACAUUGUUGGAUAUUUCCUCUCAUCAAUAAAAGUGAUGUUUGUUCAACUUUCAUUGCCUUUUACAAUUUUGUGUUCAAUCACUUUGCUAUUUCUGUUAAAACUUUACAAAGUGAUGGGGGAGGUGAAUAUAUUAGCAAGUCAUUUCAACAAUUUCUUGCAUCCAAAGGUAUUAAACACCAAUUGUCCUGUCCAUACACCCCUGAACAAAAUGGUCUAGCUGAAAGGAAGCAUAGACAUAUUGUUGACACAGCUAUAACCCUUUUACAAACUGCUUCCUUGCCUUCAAAAUUCUGGUCUUUUGCAUGCCAAGUUGCUAUCUAUCUUAUUAACAGAAUGCCAACACCUGUUUUACACAACAAAUCUCCAUUUGAGUUGUUGUUUAAAGAUGUCCCAGCUAUCAAUCAUCUUCGGGUUUUUGGAUGUUCCUGUUUCCCACUCUUAAAACCUUACAAUUCCAACAAGUUACAGCCUAAAACAACAAAAUGUGUCUUUUUAGGUUAUGCCUCCAGAUACAAAGGCUACUUAUGUUAUGAAGUGAGACAUCAAAAAAUGUACAUAUCUAGGCAUGUUAUUUUUGAUGAGGGUGAAUUUCCUUAUGCCAUGUUGUCUUCCAAAACCUUAACUUCAUCAUCCUUUACUCCUCUUUUGUCACCUUCUAUUUCUCUGCCUUCUGUCACACAUGAUAACCAGGUUGUCUCCAUAGCAUCUACAUCUACUUCACCUACACUUGAGUCCAUUUCUACCCCAACACAUGCUGAAUCCAUUACUGCACCGUCCAUACAGUCUGUGCUUCCUUCUUCCCCUGUGGCUGCAGUCCUGUCCUCUGGAUCCAAUCCUCAUGAUCAUACUGAGAUUUCUUCAGAGUUUCAACCUGAGAGUUUGCAAGUGGUUUCUUCUAUUCCACCUAUGAAUACACAUGCCAUGCAGACAAGAUCCAAAAAUGGUAUCUUCAAGCCUAAAGCUUUUCUCUCUAAAAUUGAAGCUGAUAUUCCAAUUGAUUUAACUCAGGUGGAACCCUCAACAUAUAAGUCUGCUCUUUCAUCCUCAGUAUGGUGUGCAGCUAUGAAAGAAGAGCUCUCUGCUUUGCAUUCUCAAGGAACUUGGUCAUUAGUUCCUCUUCCUUCAAACAAGAAUUUGGUUGGGUGUAAGUGGGUCUUCAAGAUUAAAAGAGAUGCAGAUGGGAACAUUUCUAGAUAUAAGGCACGCCUUGUUGCCAAAGGCUUCAAUCAAGAAGAGGGUCUUGACUAUGGGGAGACCUUUAGUCCAGUUGUUAAACCUACAACUGUGAGGUUAGUUUUGGCUUUAGCUGCACAAUUUGGUUGGUCUUUACGGCAACUCGAUGUGAAGAAUGCUUUUCUUCAUGGUAUUUUACAAGAAGAGGUCUAUAUGUCUCAACCUCCGGGUUUUGUUGACUCUCACCAGUCCUCUCAUGUUUGUCGGUUACAUAAGUCUCUAUAUGGCUUAAAACAAGCCCCACGGGCUUGGAAUGAGAGGUUUACCAACUUUUUGCCUUCUUUGGGUUUUCUUACAACAUUUUCAGACUCCUCAUUAUUUGUGAAACAUGUUGGCAACUCUGUGGUCAUUCUCUUGCUCUAUGUGGAUGAUAUAAUUAUCACAGGAAGUGCUACUGCAGCUAUUACUGAUGUUAUCCAGGCUUUAGCUCAGGAAUUUGAUAUUAAGGAUUUGGGACUCCUUCAUUACUUCUUAGGCAUCCAAAUUACUUAUCAUUCCACUGGAUUAUUUCUCUCCCAGGCUAAGUAUAUUACUGAUUUGCUUCAUAAGACUGAUAUGAGUAUUUCCAAACCGUGUCAUACCCCUUGUCUGCCGUAUACCAGGUUACUUAAAGAUGAUGGGACACCCUUUCACAAUCCAGCAUUGUAUCGCAGUGUGGUGGGGGCUUUGCAAUAUCUUACAUUUACAAGACCCGACAUUGCUUUCUCCGUGCAUCAGGUAUGUCAGUUCAUGCAUUGUCCCAUGGAGUCUCAUUUUCUUGCUGUGAAGAGAAUCCUCAGAUAUCUGAAAGGCACGAUGGAUUAUGGUGUUCACUUCAGCAAAGGAGAUUUAUGUUUACAUGCCUUCAGUGAUGCUGACUGGGCUGGGGAUCCCAAUGACUGACGGUCAACUACAGGUUUGGUGGUCUAUUUGGGGUCUAGUCCCAUUUCUUGGUCUUCCAAGAAACAAAAUACAGUUUCUAAAUCCUCCACUGAAGCUGAAUACCGAGCACUUUCAUCCACUACUGCAGAGAUUGACUGGAUCAAGCAACUUUUGCAGUUUCUUCGGAUUGAUGUUUCAUGUCCUGUCACUUUAUUUUGUGACAAUCUGUCUGCUAUAGCCUUGGCUUAUAAUCCAGUUAUGCACCAAAGGACAAAGCACAUUGAGGUAGACAUCCAUUUUGUUCGAGAACGGGUUGCCAAGAAGCUGCUUCAACUUCAAUUUGUUUCUUCAAAUGAACAAUUUGCCGAUAUUCUCACCAAGGGAUUGUCUACUCCAUUGUUUCAGACCCACUGUUCCAAUCUCAGGUUGAGCAAACCUCCUCCUGUGAUUGAGGGGGGAUGAUAACAGUAUAUAAAGCAAGCAUAACAGCUUGUGAUCGUGUGGUUGUAAUAGUGACAAGUGUAGUCAUCUUGUAAUCAUUGUGAUAGCUUAGAAAGUAAGCAAUCUAGUUAGCUAUAUACUAUAACUAUCAUUGUAAGAAGAUGAAAAGAGUUAAUGUGAAAAACAAAUAUCUUCUCUGUCUAAAAUUCUAUUUCUCUCUCUGAAUAUUCAUUUCUUCUUCUGCAAGAAUACAUCUCCUCUAUACCUGAGGUAGAUAACAAGUAUGAAUGAAGAGACUGGAGGCACCAUGAAGUUUCCAUUCUUUUGUUUCUACAAAAUUUUGGAAAGAUGGAAUUGUUGUCAAGGAUGGAAGUUGGCGUUGGGCUCCCGAAAUAGGGUUGAAUAGAAACAUAUCUUUUUCCUUUUCUUUGACCAUAAAUAACCACCCUUUACUAGAACCAAAUAACUUCCCUCUUUGAAUUGGCUCUGGCACCCUCAACUUGUGAAAUUUGCCACCAUCGAAAGGGCUGAGAAACCUCAUGCGGUCGUCACAGAUUCGAGGGAGUAAUAACCAGGGGAGCUCUUGAGCACCACGGACGUCUCCCCGCAUACAAACGCCCAAGACUUGCAUGAUAAGCCUAAGCGUAUUCGAUCACUUAAAUUCAGGCGCCUUACAACAAUCUCCAAGAUAUCACCAUGUGUUCUAUGCCACCUACACUACUCGACGUCUGAUGUCUUGAAGAAUUCAAGAGGUAAUAGUUUCUUGAGCUUGAAGAAAGGGAACCAGCUUCUCAAAGAGAGGUAGUCACCCAAAUUUUGAUAAACCGAAAAUAGAUCACUCAUCUCUCUCUUUAAUUAUAUGCAGAAAAGAUUAAAGAAAGAUAAAUGGUCGAUAUUCAAUUCUUGGAUGUCAAUGCUCUAUUUAUAGGACUGCAGCUUAUAGUUAUUCAUAUCCGUGUUUACAGUGUUUUAUUCUUCUCUCUUAAUUUUAACAAAUUUCCUAGUCCUAGUCGCAGCUAUGGAACCGGACGUAAAGACCCUUAAGAUUGACGAUGUUGUGACCCUCUCUUCAGACAACUUCCGCCCCUUUUACAGAACACCACAGUUGAAACACCUUUCCAAGGUCAUUGCUGGAACCGCCCGCGUAGGAGAAGUUGCGACGAUAAGAUCAGAUUAGUUUUUGGGCUCCUUCGCCUCCAAGAGUCCAUCUCCAGUUGCUGGCAUUUGUUUCUUUUUUUUUUUUUAUCGAACAACAAUAUUUUACACUAAUAAAGAGAUAAUUGGACCAGUCCCUAAAUUUUAGUCUAAUUGGAGUUUUAGUGCUUGAGUUAUAAACAUGUGAGUGAUAGUACCUGAACUUAUUACAAUAUAAAACACUAGUCAUUUUGGGAAAUGUAAUUAGAACUUCCUUUUUUUUGUACCCCUUUAAAACUCUUAUUUUGGAUGGAACUUUCAAUAGCUACUCAAAAUGACUAUUACUCCACAUUGUGAGUAAUUUAGAGACUAAUACUCAUGAAUUAGUUCAUGAACCAAAACUCCAAUGUUAAAGAUCAACACCAGCUCAUUAAGAUCAAUCGGUACAAAAGAACUAGAUUGUUCUGGUUUAAAUAUGCAUGUAAGGUGGCUGUGCAUGCAUUGAAAAUGCUAGACAAUUCUAGCACCAAAGUAUAACUAGAAGGUUAGUAAAAUGUGAAGCGCAUGUCGGUGGGCUGUUUGUGUAAAGAACUAGAAAUCUAGAAAAAUGUUUUUGUUUGUAGAAAAGUCUAGAACAGCUUAUUGCUAGUUGCUAGGAUGAAACGGGCCAAGAGAGAGUAACUAAGAAGAGAAACUAAAAACUAAGAAGGAAGAAAGCAACUAAGUAAGAAAGUAAGAGUAGCAACCAAGAGAGAGUAGCAAGUAGGCAAGCAAACCAAGUGAGAGUGAGAAACACGAGUAGUUUUGUGUGAUGUGAGUGAUUUAGAGUUUGUCUCUAGAAAGUGAGAGAGUGUCAUAGCUUCUAAAUUGUGUCUUUAAGAAUUGUUGUAUUGUAAUAUUUUGUAAGUGUAAUACAAGUAAUUUGUUUACUUAUUGUCUUUUCAACACUUGUGCUAGAGUUGUGUACUCUAAUUUUCCUCAACAUCCAAUUGAGCCGAAGAACAUUGCUUCAAUUUUCUCAUAAAUAAAAUAUGAACACAGAUAUUAAACUUGCUCAUUUUCUUCCUCAUAGAAAAGCACAUUUUCUCCCUCAUAGAAAAGCACAUUUUCUCUUUUAUGAUUGAAUGUUCUUUAUUCCCAUGCAUUUUCCACUCCGCCUCUCAUGCAAUUAAUACCUAUAUAUAUAUAUAGGCCCUUUAUGCAAAGGGAUUCCCAUUUUUUUCAAAAAAUGGGGAUUAGGUGUGAGGCUCACUCCACAUCGAACUUCAACAAUCCGAACGUCUAUUUUGUAAGUCUCGGUUCAUAGAUCAUUCUUGCAAAAAUUCAAUUCAAUCCGAAACCAUUUGCCUAUUUAAUUAUCAAGAUAAAAUUUCAUUGUUUCUUAUAUAACAAAGUAUUCGUUCAUUUCUUUGAACUCAAUUAGAUAUCUUAAACAUUUCCGAUUUGGCUAAUAUUUUGUAAGGAUGAUCUAUGAGAUGCAACUUGAAAAAUAGACGGUUCGGAUCGUUAAAGUUCGAUGUAAUGUGAACCCCACAACUAAUCCCCAUUUUUAUAAAAAAAAAUGGAGAUCCCUUUCCUUAAAGAUUUCCUAUAUAUAUAUAUAUGUAUGUAUGUAUGUAUGUAUUCCUCCAAGAAACCAGAAUCAAAACCAUGACUGACAAUAACAGGAUUAUCAUCUUUAUUGGGCUUUUUCUUACUUGAUAUCGAUUCGCAUCGUAGAUGCCUCCGUUGUUUCAACUGGGGACUUCAACAAAGAUUUCUUUGUCACAUGGUCUCCUAGCCAUGUAAACACUUCAGCUGAUGGCAAGACAAUGAGUUUAAAGCUUGACCAAGAAUCCGGUACAUGAUCAAUAUUCAUAAACUCUCUUAAUUAAUUUUGGCUUAUAGCAUGUUGGAAUUCUGAUAAUGUUGUUUUUCGUUUCCCCUGGGCGCUGGUUUUGCUUCAAACCAGAUGUUUUUAUUUGGACAAAUUGACAUGCAGAUUAAACUAGUACCAAGCCAUUCAGCAGGCACAGUUGUGGACUAUUAAUAGUCUAUUAUAUAAGCAAAAAAAACAACAAUUUUUCUUCAAACGAACAUUUUUGCUAAUGACUGAAUAACUAAUGGAUUGUUUAUGAUCAACUUGAAAUUAAUCAAUGCAGUUGACAUCUGAUCAACCUAACCGUGACGAGGUAGACUAUGAGUUCCUAGGCAAUGUGGAAGGCAAACAAUAUGUCCUCCAAACAAACAUUUUCGCUGAUGGACUGAUAACUGCGAAGAGAGGAUCAAUCUAUGGUUUGAUCCAACAAAGGAUUUCCAUACCUAUUCCAUAUUAUGAACCUUCACCAAAUUGUGUAAGCCAUCUAUCAAAUCUGAUCAGUACUACUUCAUUUUAGAAUUGCUUUUACAUAUUUUGUUAAGUACACAAAAUAAAUUUAUGGGAAAAUUUUGGUGUACUUUUGCUGUUUGUAGUUAUAGCAGACCGGUGUAGCAUUUCCAACGUGGCAGCCAAUGAGCAUCAAAGCCAGCCUAUGGAACGGCGACAGCUGGGCAACGAGAGGUGGCCGCGACAAAAUUGAUUGGUCAAAAGGCCCCUUCACAGCUUCACUAAGAAAUCACAAGAUUGAUGCCUGUGUUUGGAAGGGAAAUGCCAGGUUUUGUAGGGCAUAGAGCCCUACAAACUGGUGGAAAGGUUUAGUACCCUGUCAAAUGCACAGAGAAGGUUGUUCAAAUGGAUUAGGAAGUACCACAUGAUUUAUAAUUGGGACACUUUGAAUGCGGUCCCUAACUAUCAAUAUUCUUUGACUGAAAUUUUGUUAGUUUUUAGUUUUUUAUUGAAAUCCCUGACAUUAAUGUAAUAAUGUAAGUUACUAUAUUUUUAAAUUAAAAAUUAAAAAUUGAAAUUUGUAAUUGUUUAUAUUAAUGAGAUUUUAAAUAAAACCCAUAAUUUGCGAAGUUAAAAAUAAAAAAAUAUAAAUUAUACUCUCUAUUAUAUUGUGUGUGUGUGUGUACAUAUAUAUAUGGGUACAUUCACCAAAAUUAACUUUAUUGUACAAAAUAUGGGUACAUUCUUCAAAAUUACAAAAGAAAAAAAAAAGAUAUCACACUUAAUAACAUUAGUAAAUUUUUUCGAUCAAACUUGAUAUGGAUACAUUUUCAAAUCAACGAAAAAGAAUGUACCCAUAUAAGUUUAAAAAUGGAUUAAAAAUGGAUUUUAUAUUGAAAAAAAUGGUACAUUUUACAUAUAACAAAUUGGUAUAUUUAAGAAUGGGUACAUUUAAUAUUAAAAAAAUUGAAAAAUUAUAUGAAGGGCUACAUUUAAGGUUCAAAAAUUGAGAAUCUUUUUAUAAAAGAAAAAACUAAUGGGUACAAACUUAAUCUAAUUUUAUAUUUUUUUAUUAUUUUGGAAAUGUUUGAAUUGAAAAUUAAUUAUGAGUUUAAUAGAGAAGUGAGUAUUAAACCCUAAAUUAAUUACUAAUUUUUAUAUUAAAAAAUUUAUGUAAUAAACAUGUAAAUUCAUUAUCACAUUAAUGUUAGGGCCUUCAAUCAAAAUUUGAAAACUAAUAAGGUGUGACAACCCGUCCCAAAUUCUACAUUUUUAUUAAUUUUAAAAGCGUGAUUUUACGAAAAUGUCCUUAGAGGCGGGAGUAUUGACUUUCGUGAACAGCGUAUAGUGAGGUGUACAAAUUAAUCCUUUAGAUUUUUCCUGAAGUACUCGACAUUACGGACUUAUAGGCGCAAGCAGAAGAGGAUUUGGGGUUACGGUUAAAGUUUUACGAAACUGUAAACUCGAGAAGUACUUUGGUUUCAGUCACUAUUUAUAUUUUUAUAUAUUUUUAUAAUGUUGAUAUUAUUUAUCAAUUAAUUAUUUUAAAGAGGAAGAGGAAGAAGAGGAAGAGAAAGAAGAGGAAGAGGAAAAACGAAAAAAAAAAAGAAAAAAGAAAGAAGAAUGGCUACUGCCCAAUCAGGAAGAAGAGUGAGGUAGGGGACCAACUAGAGAAAAAGUAAGGAGGGAAAGGAGAGAAGGUAGGGAAGGAAAAUGGCAACCAAACCCAUGUGACCCGGUUAUAAUCGGAGGAUUUCUACGGCAAAAUCCAUGGUUUUUCCGAUGAAUUGGACCAAGGUACCACUUCCAAACACUAUCUAGCCCUUCCCUCUUCCUUUUGUCAUCUCAAUUUAGAAGAAAUUGUUGUAAACGGGGGAGGAACCGUCGGUGGGUGCGACGGAUUCGUGCAAGAAAUCCCAAAAUCAUGAAGCUAUUCCCACCAAUUACCAUCACCACUAGACUCCUUAUGAGGUCUAGAUCAAAUCCCAGUCAGUUGUAGGGUGGGCGGGGUACCGGAGAUGGCGAAUCAAGAAGCACCCAAACUUAGGGUUCUGACGGGUUUUAGUAAAAUUGGGAUUUUUCUAGGCCAAAUCGGCCUUAGUCACAGGUAUGAAAGUUACUCCACUCACUGAGAUCGUCAUUUCUGCAAAAUUGGUAAUUUUUAGAAGUAGUUGAAUUUUCCGGCGAGUUGGGGCGGCCGACCGCCACCCACAACGACGCGUGCGGCGGCGUGUGACCAGUAGGCCACCAAUGUAAUUUUUAGGCUAUGUUAAAUGUCUUGAAUUCAGUUUUGAUAUUUGAAUGACGUAGGUUGAUUGCUGGAACCUAAAUUCUCUACAAUACGUUAUUAGGUAUUCAGGUGAAUCGACAAUCCGACCGUUGGAUCGUCACCAAACUUUGUUACAUUGUAGUACGUAAAAUUUGAAGAAUGUAGGAACUUACAGAUUGGGAAUCCAACGUACGGAUCUUCCCGACUUGGAUUUGUAAGUUCAUAAAAUAAAACGUUAACCACUAAUCAGUUUUGGAAAUUGGCGGAGAUCCAACCGUUGGAUCGUAAUGAAAUUUAAGUAUGUUGUUCUAGAAGUCAUGAGAAGUUACGGAUUGGAAAUCUGAGAUGCAGAUCUUCCGGAUCGAGUUUUGCAGGGUUGUGGACCCAACCGUCAAUCGAAUGUCAAUAGGUCUCAAAUUAUUCUAGAAGGUCCUUAAGGAUAUGUUUUAUGUAAAUUAUGUAUUCUAUCGGUAAGAACUUUGAGACGUGAUUUGACAAUUGGUCAUAGGCGAUGAUAGUUCGUGAUGUCUCCAUAUUUGUGCGAGGGACUCGUAGUGCGGACCUAAGGCGUAGGUAUUUUCCCUUCUAUUAUAUAUAUAUAUAUAUAAGCUUGAUAUCUCCACAAACGUUUAUAAAUUAAAUAUUCAUAUAAUUUCUGUGAAUGCUUUGGAAGACUAAUGCGAACUACGAAUGGCUUAAUCCCUGUUUAGGGUACAUAGGCAGUCUAAAGAGACGUUAGAUGUAGCCAUAUAAUAAAUGGGACUAAAUAAUUGAGACAAUAGCCUUGUUUGGGGAAUUGAACAAUGCAAAGGAUAUUAGUGAAAAAUGUGAGAUCUAACCUUGCGAGUUGGUGGAUAAAUGUUGGUCAUAAAUCAAUAUGUGAGGAAUCAAGGAAUUGAAGUAAGGAAACGUAAGUAAUGAUGGUUGAUUACAUUAGGUUUUAGAUGAGCUUAUGACCGAUGACUAUUUCCUAAAAUAAAUAUGUCGGGAGUAGGGUGUUAUAGUUCAUGCAUUUUUACGCCACAUUAUAUAUAUAUAUAUAUAUAUUGGAAAAAUACUAUGAUAUGGUUGAGUUUUAGAUUUGUAUUAUGGCAUAUCCAUGUGUAUACUACUUGCACAAAAUUAUUAUGAAUGUUUGAAGUGCAAAGAUGAAUGCGGAACACACAGGUAAGUUCAGGUGAGUUAUGGUAUUAGUUGAAAGGAUUGAGUUAUGGCAUAAUCACAGUAUGUUUUAGGCAACUCCAACAUUAUCGUACAAGUUGCCUAUGAGUUGUAUAUAUCACAUGAGAUGCAUUUAAAGCUCAUAAACUUGCACCCCCAUGUUAGUGCUCCCGCCCGUGACCAGGACAUAGUCAUUCACGUGAUGUUCACCUCCCGCACCUUAAACUCACCUUGGAUCCAAGGUAGGUGCAGAGUCCUGUCGUACAGACCACUAUAGUUGGUUCCGACUCGUAGGUGACCCACGAUUAUUCGCACAGUCUUCACAUGAUUGUAGCACUUGAGCGUAUUUAUUUACACCCAGUCUUGUCGUACAUACCACUUUAGGUGGUUCUGACUUGUGUGCAAGUAUACUUAUUGAGCUAUGGAUAAGUCAUACAAGUCAUUAGAGGUGACUCCGACUUAUGAGCUAGCAUAUACGAUGAGUAUGUGAUGAGCUAGCAUAUGUGAUGAAAUAUGUGAUGAGCUAGCAUAUGCAAUGAGAUAUGUGAUGAGCUAGCAUAUAUGAUGAAAUAUAUGAUGAGCUAGCAUAUAUGAUGAAAUAUGUGAUGAGCUAGCAUAUAUAUAAUGAGAUAUGUGAUGAGCUAGCAUAUAUGAUGAAAUAUGUGAUGAGCUAGCAUAUGUGAUGAGAAAUGGAUAAGUCGUACAAGUCACGUGAGGUGACUCCGGCUAGCAUGUUGAUGAGCUGUUAAUUCAGCCGUACAGCCCACUAUAGGUGGAUCCGGCUAAUAUGCCAUUUCAUAUUGAUCUAUUUCACCUGAGUACUUAUUCUUAUUGAGAUAUUUGACAUUGUAUAAUUGUGAGACUAUUAUUUUGGUUAUGGUAUUGAUUUAUAGUCAUGCCUAUUAUUCCGGGAAAUUAUACAGGUAUUACGGUGAGGGGCUACUGUUUUUUAUAGUUGGAAUUUGUUUGAAAAGUUUUGUUUCACUCACUCACAUUUUCUAUUUUUGUACCCCUCGAGGUUCUAGCAGUAGAGUUCCGUAUCGACGAGGAUUCGUGGCACUUUUCAGUACAUAUGUUUUCUUGUGAUGGUAUGAUCAUUGUCUCAUCUUACUGCACUAUACCUAUGCUCUGUAUCACGCGUGAAAUGGGUCCAGAUCCGCUCACCGCGCACUCGUGUACUUAGGGACUUUAAGUUUUAAUGUAUUCACAUUUUAUACAUUAUCACACUUUAUGGCUUCGUCACCUUCUAGGUGUCGGGCAGCACAGCUUGAUUUGGAGUCCUAGUGGAUAUUCCGGGUCGGGGUGUGUCAUAAGGUCUUAGUCAAUGAAAAUUAGGAACUAGGGACCAGAUACUAAUUUUUCUCUUAUAAUUAUUGCCAAGAUAAGGAGAGGUUCCAAGGCAACCUUGAAAGCGUACACACACAGACACACACACACACAUAUACAUACAUACAUACAUACAUACAUACAUACAUACAUACAUACAUAUUAGAGACUUGGAAGUAAAGUAACAUUUUCUUUUGGAAUUCCCUUGCAAGAUGCCAAAAUGUUUCUUCACUUUUUGGUUAUAUUGAAUUUGAAAGAAAAGGCGAAGGAUGUAUUCAUAGGGCCUCUGACUAUAGUAGUAGAAAACCUUGUUUUUUCAUUUUAUUUUGAUUUCCAUAAAAAAAUUAAAGGGCUUUCCAAUAAUUAUUCUAAUUUAGUGGCACCAAUUUCCACUUUGAUCAUGUAGAUUGUUAGUUUAAAUAUUGCAAAUGAGAUUUUAUAUACUUCAUUAAUCAACGAGUGUCUGCUGUGCAUGAGAUUUAAACUCAAGACUUACAAUAAAGUGGAGAUUAGAUGCUACUAAAUUAACGUAUCAUAAUGAAUUUUGUUAUCUCUAAUUAGCGAUUUAAAUAUAUCAUUAAUGAUCCUUGCAUCCUGUAUUCUGCAUAAGAAGUGGUGGGUGAUCCCGCUAGACUGACAAAAUUAAAUAUGACGAUAACAGUACACAAAUUUUGUUUCAUGAAGGGUUUGUAUCUGGCCUUAUCAAGUCAGAUAUGUAACAAGUUGACUUGAUAAGAAUACAUUUCUUUCUUAAUUGGUCGGAUUCUUGAUUAUUCACGACAUUUAACACUCCAGUACACGUGUUUAUAAAUGUUGCAUAAUGCGGUAUAUUUAAAAUUUUAUAUCCUAUUAACAAAAUAAAAAAAUUAAUGAGUAAAAUUGACAAAUACCAUAAGAUUAAAUUUAUGAACAAAUUGAUCUUUUCUAGCCCAUUGUGAAGUUAAUCCUACCCCCUCCCCUUAAUUGUAGAGAAUAUUGUUUGUUAAGAGGUUGAAUUUGUGGUGGGAAUAUUUUCACCUGACACGAGUACGAUAAAACACAAAACGUCGCUGAACAAUCUUUUUCCUGAAAAAUGUGAUGACAGAACAGUGACCCAAUCAAGAAAGGCCCAUAUUUUACAAAAAAUAAAAAAAUAAAAAGGCCCAGAGUGAAUAAUGGGUCUGAAGGCCCGAGUGUUGACGAUUAAUAUCUAAAAUGAUAAGGAAACUAAUGAAAAGAAUUUGAAACUUUGAGUUUUAACGAUAAGGACAAAAUAAAAGGUAAAAUAAAUAGUAUUAGAAUUAAUUUUUUAAUGUAAAAAUAUGAUUUUUCGUUAAAAUAAAUAGUACUGUAACUUUUCGUUAUAGUUCCUAAAAUUCUAAUGCAGCAAAAUUAGAAUCAAAGAAAAUAAAAAUUGCCGUUUCGUCAAAUCUUGUCGCAGCCAAAAACCCUAAACCCUUUGAGAGCACAGACAGAGGAAGAUGGGAAAUACAAGCAAAGACCUUCUGCAAUUCGAGCACAAAAGGGCUUCAACUUCACCUUUAGGUCUCUCUCUCUCUCUCUCUCUCACGCGCGCUCGCUUUCUGUGGAAACUCAUGUAGCUUACUCUGGGUGUAUUCUCUUGCAGAAAGCACGCUACUUGUCUGUAAAAAUGCCUCAACGAAGAAAGCUCAACCCGAAGGGAAACCCGGCCCUGCUCUUCCUCUUCCCAAAAGCCAAGGUUCUCGAUUUUUUCCCAUUUAAAUUUGGGUUUUUUUUUUUUUUUUUUUUCAAUUGUGAAAACUUCAAUUUAAAGGAAUUUGAAUUGUGGGUUCUUGGUAAGAGAUUAAAUCUGAGAUCGAUUUGAUAUGAUGGGCACAUAUAUGAAUGUUUUUAUUUUCCAGCUGGUAAUUUUCUAUGUUGGUUUCUACUUGGCCGGCUAAAUAAUGUUUAAUUCUCAAAUGGGUCUAUAAUUUGGUGAUGGAUGCUUAAUUUCUUUUAUACAAGGUCUCGAUGCUAAUCAGUUAAUCAGCAUAAUGCCUGUGCUGCUUGUCUUCUUUUUACAUUUCCCCCAUUUAUAUUUUGUUUUGGAACUUGCUAAGUUACUAAGUUGUAGUGGUUUGAGUUAUAACUUAGAAGGGUGUGACUCAAGUCUCCUGUCAUUGGGCUCGUCUCAUCCUUCAUAAACCUGCGCUGAAAUUUCAUAGUUUAAUUCGACGAGAUGGGAUUAUUUUUGUGCUGUUUAUCUUUUCUUGGCCCCUGGUGUUAUUAUUUUCUUCCUCUUUUGGUUCGUUGGCAAGAAUCUUGCUUGAGAUAGAGGGUAGUAAGUACUUCAUUGUCGGCUUGAGAUUGGCUUCAAAUCUCUGUUCAUGUCUAUCCACUACAAUCAAUUACAUACCUUACCUUGGAAUUCUGUUUCUCAUACAUUGUUUCCGUAUUCAUAUUUUUCCGGUUCAGUAGAGAAUUUCUACCUUUACAUGUCAAUUAGUUUUUCGUUCUCUCUUUCAUUAGAGAACUUGCUUUACUUAGUUCUAGCUGAAUUUUCUCAAAUGUUUAGUAGUCAAUGUGAUGCUUUAUACGCUAGCUGAUGAUUGUGUAUGUCGUGAAGGGGUCAUAACAAUGGUUUAGCGUUGAGAAAAAUCAAAUGUGUGGCAUGUGUGGCAUGAUCUCAGGUUAGAGGAUUUCUGCAAUUGGGCAAGCCUAUGCCCCAAGUAUUUAGUUGUUUUAGGCAACUGAAGUCUUCAUUGAUGAUCAGGAAUGGUGACGAUAGAAAUUUGAAAUAGAUUAGAGAAUGUUGUAGUAUCAAAUCUGAGGCUGAAGAGACGGAUGUUCUAAACUGUUUUGCCUUGCCCCCUUUUUUUUUUUAGCUCAAACAGAAGUUUUCAAUUUAUCAUGUACUUGAGAUUCUCUGCUUCUGUUUUAUUUGUAGUGUUGUUUUGUUAGAAGUGCCUUGCAAAAUUUUGUUCACAGUAUUUGCUUGCUUGGGCUGUGCAGUUUUGGGACUAGUAAGGGACUUCUUGGGAGUCAUAUCAGAAGCUAACGAACGACUAAAGCAGGAUGCAAAGGUUGGCAUAUUGAUCUUGCAACCAAAUCUAGAUUGUUUAUCCCGAUUCUAACAUCCUUUAAAACACCUAACCUGUGUUUUCUCAUUUACUGAUAUGUAGGAUAAUCCAGAAAACUACGAUAUUGAAGUGCUCACUGGAAAUGAAUCUCAAGUCGUUAAUAUGGUCCCUAUCUCUCUUUCGCUCUUGCUCUUGCGUAUGCACACACAUACACAUACACGCUCACAGAUUAUUGAUCCCCUUGGAUAAUAACUGAUUUGUGGGUGGAUCUGAAUUGACAGGAGUUGAUGCUGGGCGUUGCUGAUCUUCAAACUCCUGAGGCUGUGGCUGCUGCUGAAUCUGCAAUUGUUGGUUGUCAGCCUGUUAUACCAUUGGCCAUCAACAGUAGCGGAGAGGAAUCAGAGGAUAGCAGUGAUGGUGACAGCAGCAGCGAUGAUAGUGACGACGAAGAUGGUUCCGAUGAUAGUAGCAGCAAUGAUAAUGACGACGAAGAUAGUGAUGAAAUCAAAGAUGAUACAAUUGAUAAAGAGGAUAAGAAAACAACCUCUCAUGCAAGGCUCAAAACACGCAAGUCGGAUAAAGAUAAUUCUAUGAGUGAUGAUGCUGGUAACAAUCGGUCCCAAAAACGACCGAAAAUUGUUGAGCUCUCACGAAAGUCUUGUGAGAUCUAGUCAUAUAUAGAGUUAAUGUUUAUGGAACUAUCAAUUUAUUGUAAUAGUUGGGCAGUUCUUAAGACUUCCACACAGUGAGAAGGGCAUAUGAUGAAUGAUUCUGGGAGACUCUGGAAGAGACAACGAGUUGUAUGAAGAGUACAAAAUAUCAUUAUAUCGUUAAUGUGAUUUCGUAUGUAAUUUCACGGUUUCACCCAAAUCAUUCUAAGUACGAUGUUUGUCGAUGAAUUUUAUGAUGAAAGGUAAUUGUUCUGCAAAUUUAUCAGUUCUGCUAAGUUCUUCUGCCACUCAAACUGUAUACAGUUCGAGGUGAAUCUAUGAUUGUAACUUCUUCUAACAUCGAAUGAACAACGCUUAAAAUGUAGAAGAAAAUCCUUUGGCAACAUUGUCAUGCAUUUGGUACAUACCACAUAGAGGAAACUUAAAAUUUAAGUUACAAAGGCAAUUACAUCGACAUCUCUAGGAUGACACCACAUCGGGCCGGAGUCGGAUUUGCCCUGCCAUAUCCGGCUCCACAAAAAUUUUGCCAUCCCUAUCCCCGUCCCCAUAAACAAAGGGAUUUAGUUGUAAAUAUUUUUUUUUUGUACAAGCGAUAAUGUGGUUCAAAUUCACUUUUCACGAAAAUAGAACCUAAUACCUCUCACUUACAAGUGAAGAGGAAUACCACUAGACCGUAGUAUUAGAUAUGAAUAACAAAGAAUUCAAGCAUUAUGUAUAGAGGAAAUUAUAGUAAUGGUCCCUCAACUCUUAAUGCAAUUGGAGUAACGGUCCCUCAAUUAAAAUCCAUAACUAUUAGUUCCUUAACUCAUCAAAACAUGCAAUUGUGGUCCUUCUUGUCAAAUUGGUUAGAACUUUCGUCAAAAUGAGUUACAUGUCAUGCACGUGAGGCUGAAUCAAGAGUUAAUAUGGAAAACCAAUUGGAGAAAUAGUCCCUCAAUUUUAAUCCAAUUGGAGUAAUGGUCUCUCAACUUUAACCCAAUUGUAGCGAUGAUCCUUCCAACAUGACUUAUUUUGAUGAAAUUUUGACAGAGUUGACGAAAAAGACCAUAGCUGCACGUUUUGAUGAGUUAAGGGACCAAUGAUUAUGAAUUUUUAGUUGAGUGACUAUUGCUUCGUUUAGGUUAAAGUUGAAGGACUAUUGCUACAAUUUUAUCUUAUAUAUAUAAAAGAAAGCUUACCCCUCUAUAUUAGUCAUAUAUCUUGCUUACCUACCAACAACUACAAGACCAAGCAAUUUAAAUUAAAAAGGUACAAGACAACCAUUAUUUUAUGUCCUUUAAAAUGGGCCGGCCACACCCUAUGUCAAAUAUGUAAGGCCCUAGCCCAUCUCAUGGGCCGAGAAAAUUUAGGCCUAUCAGCGGGCCCCUAAACUCUGAUCUUUUGGCCUUUCAAUAAUUUAAAUAAAAAAUAGUAAUAAGACCUUAAGACGCAAAGUUCAGACCUUACACAUUUAAAAUAGAGAACUUUAACGAAAAACAUCCGGUACUGUUCACUUUAACGAAAAACCACAUUUUUACACUAAAAAGUCAAUCCUGAUACUAUUCACUUUACCCUUUAUUUUGUCCUUAUCAUUAAAACUCAAAGUUUUCAAGCCCUUUUUAUUAGUUUUCCUUUUAAAAUAGGGCCAGAUAAAGCUCGACCUAAGACUGGAUCGGGCCAACCCAUCGGGCCUCGGUCUUAUUUUACCGGCAUAGUUUUUUGGGAACUUUAACGAAAAGCACCCGGUACUGUUCACUUUAACGAAAAACCACAUUUUUACACUAAAAAGUCAAUCCUGGUACUAUUCACUUUACCCUUUAUUUUGUCCUUAUCAUUAAAACUCAAAAUUUUCAAGCCAUUUUCAUUAGUUUUCCUUAGUUUUUUAACCUUUAAAAAGAAAUGAAAUUACAUAAAUACCCUUGGUAACCAAAAGCAAACAGUGCACCGUCUCUUAUUUCAUCAAAAGCCUCAAAGGAUUAAUCCUUAUAUUCUUUUUUGUGGUUUGAUCAUAACUAAUUAGUAGCCAUGCAUGCAUCCAUGGAUCUGGGCUUAUUAGCUGCUAAUUAUCAUAAGAGUAAACAAAAUUCAAAGAUUUUGUGGUUUGGUCAUAAAAAAAUUGACUGUUAGAUCGUUGUAAUACAUUACGGAGGUAAGCCUCACAAAAAUAGUGUUUCAAAUAGAAGUCAAAAUCGCGUAUCCCUGAAUCUUAACCAGAAAUAUUAUAAUACACGUAUUUAUUUAAUUUUAUUAAUAGUCUCUAAAGUAUCAAAUUAUGUCAUUCUCUUAUAUUAUAACAUGUGAAUUAAUAACAUUAUAUACUCACUAAAAGCAAAUUUGAACCAUGUUAUUGCUAGUUUAUUGUGAGGUUUAGCCCACUCCUCUACCCCUUGAGUAGAAAUGAUAUCGUUUGUCAAAAAAUAACACUAUAUAUUGAUGGUACCAGGAUCACCCCAAAUAUUUGUUUUUAGAAAGGGAUAUCUAUGUGGUUAUCCACUUAACUAAACUUUGGUAUAAUUAACCGAACUCCAAUUUUUUUUUCCUAGUCCCUGUGGUGACACAGUACUUUCAAUGUGAACCUCGUGAUGAAAAAGUUUUUAAUUAAACUCUUGUGGUGGGCCUUGUUAGCAAUUGAGGUCCAAUCCUUCGUUAGUCUUCUGUUAAAUAAACUCACGUGACUAUCACAUGGAGGGUCAAUUUUGUCAUUUAAAUCCAAAUUACAUCAUAUUCCAUGAACAUCUAGUAUGAGUUAGGGUUUAACUAAAAUUAGAUUUUACCAAAAAAAAAAAAAAAAAAAAAAAGGUUGAACGCAAAGAGUGAAACUAAACCUGUAAAACCACAUCAAUGGAGAAUUUGCAAAGAAAGAAGAGAGGGAGAAGUUGCAAAGAAAGAAGAUGUUGGAGGAGCAAGGGAGGUUAAGUAACUUAAUAGAGAAUUGGGGAAGCUUUUGAGUGGGUUUCCAGUGAGGGAUGUCGAGUUUGUAUGUGAGCGAUGUUUGUUGUAGCCUAGGUUUGUGAGACAGAGAAGAUGGGAUGUUUGUGAGGGAUGUGGGGAUGCAAGGUUUGCACCAUGUCCAGAGAAAGAAGAAGGGAGAGAUAUUGAAGAGAGAGAGAAGUCAGGUGGCAUCAUUUCCUAACAGCCUUGCACUACAAACCGACGUAGCCGAAGUUUAAAAAACAAAUCGAUGCUGCCGAUUAAUCGAUCUAUAACAAUUGGUUGCCAUGACAAAAUCUUAAUUCUUCAUUCACUCAUUUGGGAUUUUAUUUUCUAUAUGGGUGCAAAAAUGAAUUUAUAUAUUGAAUCGGAUUUGUGAGAGUAGUUUAGGUAGUAAAUUUGAGUUUAAAGAGAUAUUGAAUUUUUAAUUAAAAAUAAUGUGGAUGUAAAGAGUAAGGUGUAAAAAAGGUUAUAUAGUUCAAAUAAAAUUUCCCUUAAGAUAGGCUAGUGUUUCCUGUUUGGUUUUAGACUUUUAUAAUUGGGGUUGAAAUUGCGCUAGGAUUUUGUUAAAUUAGACUAAUAUUUUACUUUGAAUUUGGAUUAAAAAAUGAAUACCCAAAAUAAAUAAAUAAAUAAUUAAAUUAAUAUACAUUUAAUUCGGUUUGGUUCAAUUUUCAAACUAUUGAAACCAAAAUCGAACAAGAAGAAUUCGGUUUGGUUUGGGUUUUUUAAUGUGGUUCCUAUUUUUGCUUCGGUUGGGUGUUUCAAUUUGGUUUUUUUUGUUUUUUUUAACCCUUUUCGGCUUCAGAUUAUUAUGGAAAAGCAUGUGGAGUGUAUUAAGAUAAUUUUUAAUUGAAAAAGUCCAAAUCUUACAGUUGCCAAGUCCAAAUCUUAUAGAUGACAAGUUAAAAUCUAACUCCACCAAGAUUGUUGAUUUGUUUAAAAUAUUGUUAUUAAAAAAUUCUUUUGGACAACCAAUCUAGUUGAUUAAGACAAGAUUUAAAAUCUGAUACUCUGAAGCACUAUACAAUUCUUUUUAUAAAAGAUAUAAAUUGAAGGUGGAGGAAUAAAUUGGUUAUAAACAUAUCAUUUACAAGAUUUAAACUUGCCUCUAUUACAUUAUUUAACCAUAAAACAUGUAGAGAAACACCAAAACUUGGCCUAAAUUGUCCCCGCGUGCGCAAGUAAGUGUGAAAUCCUGCAAUUGAGUUUCAUUAUUCAAUUUUCGCGUUUCAUAUUUACAUGAUUUUAUUUUAGUUUCUUUAAAUUGGAUCUUUGGUUGGUAAGUUAAAGUUUGAUUUUAUGUAGUUAGCCAAUAAAAAUCUGUAACUUUUAGGGGGUCACUUUUGGACUUGUUGGAUAAAGCUCGAUCUCAUGAGCGUGAAGGCGAAAAACCGUUUGCAAAAUGAAGUUUUAACGAAGAAGAUAUAAGAUCGUCUAUCAUAAAAAACCCGACCGAUUUGGAACAGGGCUUAUUAUUUUUAGAAGAGUAAACUGUCGGUUUAUCCCCUGAACUUUCACCUCACUUUCGAUUUCCCCCCUGAACUUUUCCAUUGGAAAAUUAAGGACUCAAACUAAUUUUUUUAGCCAAUUUGCCCCCUACCGUUAGUUUUUCAUAUAUUCCAUCCAUAUUUCCGUUAAGUGAGACCAUGUGCACAACAUGUGAGGGUAGUUAAGUUAUUUCACUCUUAAAAAUGAUUAAAAAACUGAAAAUAAUAAAAAAAGCAAAACUUUCCCUCUAUUUUUUCCCGCUAAUUCCUAUCCUCGAUUUUAUUUUUCCCUCUCAUUCCUAUGCAUGAGAAAUGACAUAUGGUGUUAUUGUCUACCAUUUUUAUUUUCUCUAACAAAUUAAUAAUUUGACAAAUGCUAAUGGUGCUAUUGUCUCCAAAGCAGUGCAUUAAUAUAAGAAACCCUAGUCUUUUUUAUGGACAUGUUUCUUAUAUUAAUGCAUUGCUUUGGAGACAAUAACACCAUUAGCAUUUGCCAAAUUAUUAAUUUGUUAGAGAAAAUAAAAAUGGUAGUACAUGCUUCAAAAAAAAGAUUAACUUAGCUACUUAUGAAGACAAUAACACCAUAUGUUAUUUCUCAUGCAUAGGAAUGAGAGGGAAAAUUAAAAUUGAGGAUAGGAAUUAGCGGGAUAAAAUAGAGGGAAAAUUAUUAUUAUUAUUUAUUUUCAGUUUUUAAUCAUUUUUAAAUUGAAAUGACUUAACUAUCCUCACAUAUUAUGCACAUGGUCUCACUUAACGGAAAUAUGGAUGGAAUAUGAAAAACUAACGGUAGGGGGCAAAUUGGCUAAAAAAAUUAGUUUGAGUCCUUAAUUUUCCAAUAGAAAAGUUCAGGGGGGAAAUCGAAAGUGAGGUGAAAGUUCAGGGGGUAAACCGACAGUUUACCCUUUUUAGAAACCCAGCUAGUGAGUUAACCCGUUGACUAGGUUUCACUGCCCCAAUUCGCUAGGCAAAAUUUCAACACGUUUUCGACGUGAUGUGACAGUUUCAGCAACGCCAUCACUUGGGUAUUCCCUUCAACACCACAAACAAAAGCCACCAAACUUCACCAUGAUCGACUAUCAAGCUUGAAAAUUCUGAGUUUUGGUGGUUUGCGAUCUAGCCCUUUCUAUUGUAAAUGUCGGCGACCACCACCAUUAUCGAGAAGCCUUCGACAUCUAGAGAAAAGCCCUAGCUUUGGAUUGGAUGUUAGUGCAGCAGUGGCGCAAUGAGGUUCCUGACUACCCAUGGCUUUUUCGACUAAUUUUGCCUUUUUUCAUCCCAACCAACCUCCAACAAAGGUAUAAAACUUACUCCCCUUGUUGUAAGCUACGUUUUGGAAUUGACUGGAUUCUGGCAAAGGUUGGUUGGCGCACCGUCGUGUAUGGCGUGCGUGGCAUGAUGACCUAGUUUGUCUCCGUAAGCUAAAUUUGAUGUCCUGAACCCUUUUCCAAUGUUCGUUUGACAAGAUUUGAUCAUUUGAACAUAAUUCAAUAAUUGACUGCCACUUGACCUUUGUUGUAGGUGUUGAUCCGACAGUUGGAUCAUUAUGGAACUAUAGUAUAUGUUGUUGUUGAAGUAAUGUACUGAUGCUCUAAAGAACUUAUAGAUCUGAAAUCUAAGGUGCGGAUCCAUCAUAUUGGAAUAUUUAUGUUAUUGACCUUAGCAUGAACCAUUUUGAUCGGAGGUUAACUUUUGGUCAACAUGUCCCUAAUCAUUCUAGAAUAUUGAAGUUAGCAUUAUUAGAUAGCUGAUAUAGCCUAGUGGGCCUACCUUGGUUUGUGUGCCAUCCUGGGUGAUGUGCAUCUUAGGUGCAAGUGGCACCUUACCUUCAUUUAAGUGUUUGUUGGGUUUCUCGAUGAAUGUAUUCUAUAAAUAAUAAGCUAAAUAAUGUUUGUAUACUUCGAUAAGUUUUGACUGACUUCUGGGCCUUAAGUUGGCGUGCUUUCGAGAUUGCCUUUGCAUUGGACAUGAGGUGAGUAGUUUGUUUACUGUCUUUAUAUAGAAUACCAAAAUGCGUAUAUGCCUCAAUGUAUGUCCUAUUGAAGUUAGCAUUGCUAUGUAAUAUGACAUAGAGAUAAAGAUACUGGUAAUUAGAAUUUUUAAUAUAACUAGUAAUUAAGGGAAUCCUUUGUGAUGUUCUUUGUAUGACGAGAUGCUUGGUUGACAUGUUGAACCGAUAGUGGAUGUGAUUAUUAUGUAAAUCAUGUUGGGUUGAUGUAUGGUGUAUGACGAGUGAUAAUGUGACUGCAUCAUGUAGCAGUAUGGUGCAUGGAUGGUCCUACUUGGUUAAUUCGCAUUGGGGGACCAUGCAAUUAUAAGCAUGCCUAUGGUUUUGCUUGGUUAAUUUGCAUUGGGAAACCAUAAGCAUCUAAAAGUGAUCAUCCUUGGUAAAUCGGCAAUUGGUGACCACUUCCAAGUUAGAUUCCAUUGAAUUGGUCUGGAAUAUUACUUCAUAUAUGGUUUUUUUUUAUUUGGUCUGAAAACCCUAUAUUCUGUUAUAGAGUUGAAACUUAUCGUGCAACCAGAUAUAAAGUAAGAUCUAAACCUUAUAACAAUUCCUUUCGAAUUACUUUCUUGUAAUCCGAUAAUAAAGGCAAUCGACGGUACAAAGAUUUCCAGACCAAUUCAAUGGAAUCCAAGGUUUGCAGACCAACUCUGUUAUAGAGUUCCAGCCCUUGUGAAACCAGACCUGGAUUUUUUUUCCUUCCUCCCCAUUUAUUUAUCAGUUAUAAAGUUGAAACUUAUGGUAAAGUGGUGCAGUGAGGGUCACAGUAUCAACGGACAACUCUUUGCGGAGCAAAAAUUGACCGCAAAUCCAAUAAUUUUCUAUUGAAAGAAGAGUCCUUUUGAAUUUUGAUUUCCUGUAAUUAUGGCCUUCCCAUGUUAAAGUCUAAUGUAAAAAAAAUCUGAAUAAGAUGACUUCACAAUGUUAUAAAUAUUAUACGGUCUAGUGGUAUUCAUUUUCAUUUGUAAGUGAGAGGUUUUAAGUUUGAUUUUCAUCAAAGGUGAAUUUGAACUACAUUAUUGCUAGUCCACUAUGAGGCUAAGCCUUCACUCUCUCCGUUAGUGUAGAUAAUAUCGUUUGUUCCAAAAAUAAAAAAGACGCUACAUAUUUUUUUCCUGAAAAAAAUGUCUUAACUAUUUAAAAUUGGAUAAUUUACCUUUAAAGUGUAUCACAUAAAAGUUUUUGAAGUGUAAAUUGUUUCUGGUUAUUUAAUUUAAGUUGCAAUGGUCUACUUAAGUCAAUAGAUUCAAAUGUAGGGGUCUCGAUUCAAUCCAUCUAUGUGACUUUAGGUUGUAGCCAAGUGUCAUGCCAUUAUUGAUGACCGUGUGUAUGGCUUAGAUUGGAUUUAGCGCAAAGGUGUAAGAGAAUGUUUUGCUAAUUUGCGCUCUGCAAUGAAUUGAGCUGCACCUUUCCUUACACAGAAAUAUACAAAACGUUCUUCGUUCUUUGAGUUUUUCUUCAGUCUUAUUUCCCAAUCCGUAACUUAAAAAAACAACAUCAAAUACUAAAAACCAACACAAGUCACGUAAUUUAAAUUGAAAUAAAACUAAAUAGCUUACAAUCUAGUAGAAGGGAAGAAUUUGGAGGUUUUAAUGAACUUAAGGACAUUUGUUUGAAAAAAUAUCAUUAAGGAACUUAAUUUUUUAAAUGGUAGGAUUAUGAGAGAUAUGUUGAAAAGUGUGUAAUUAAGGAAAUGAACUCAAAUAAAAACUAAAAAUUAUUUUUAACUUGUAUUUAUUUUGAAGAUUUUGUUUUUGUUCAUUUUUCUUUGUUUCCUUCAUUCCCUUCCACCAGUAUUCUUCAUCCCUCAUUUUCGCCUCCACUCUUCUUCAUCCCACAUUUCCUCCAAAUAAUUUCUCCAUAACUCAAACACAUAAAAAUGAAAACUAAAAAUAGAAAACAUUUUGAUUAUCUCACAAAUAUGAUCUCACAUUUACACCGUAUAAUUUCCCUUUAUAUUUAUGGAAUAAUUAUUAGCACUUAAAAGUCAUUAUGCACUCUUUAAAUAUAUAGAUUUGACAAACCUGCGUUAUAUCUAUCAAAGACAAGGAGCAAGAAAUAAUUGCUUGGUCAAAAGCCAGUAAUUUCUUUCUAAUUAAUAUGUGUAGUAGAUUACCAAGAGAAAUUUACCACAAACAUUCAUCGUUUCAGCAAAAUAAUGUAAAUUAGGGUUUUCUUGGUUGAGGCAAUAGUAGGACUUCAAGCUAGGCAAGUAAUUAUGCAACUUUGAUCGUAGCAUGCAUGUCUUACUAGCAAGUUACCAAAAUUUAUUUUAAAUAAAAAAGAGUGAAUUCUUGAUCAAUUGAAAUUUACCGUCCACCAUGCCAGUGGAAGGUAUAUACAAAGGAUCGAUCAUCACUUAUUUAUUCAUUUUCUUUAUUCUUAAUAACCUACUUAUCUUCUUAGAUAUAUCCAUCAGCAAAAAUUGCUAGAGUGGUUGUUGUUCUUCCAUAGCUAGUAAGGCUUCUCCCCAACAUAGUUGCCUGGGGGAUCAUAGUUGCAUCCAAUGAAGGUACCCCCACUGCUGCACCUCACUUUUGCGCACCCUACACGAGCCGACUUACGCCAAACCACCUGUGUAUAAUGCCCACACACCUUUCCAGCAGCACACGAGUUCGACUUAUAACUGUAGUCGGCUUUCUCCUUCACCCACAGGUCCACAGCCGCUGUUCCCGACAGGUCACCAGUGCUCAUGGCAAGGUUUUCGCCGUAUGGCCCCUUGGAGUGCACAAGCUUACAGUCGCCAACACGUUGAUUGGCGUAGUUUUGUGCAUAGCGUGCUACAUUGUCAUCCCACGUCAAGGGACCAACGCCUACUGCUGCUCGAGCGGCGUUGUGGGAAUUGAGGUAGUCUUGGCGUGUGUCUUGGGCAUGAGAGGAUUGUAUUAGGGCUGAGCCUAAAAUGAAAAGGAGAGCUAGGGAAAUAUUGCACAACCCCAUUUUAACGGUUUGUUCUCUUUGU